rnacentral:lncRNA from 1 species
UUUUUUUUUUGCUGAAAUGUUUUAGGUGAUUGGGCCAUUGGGCUUGCUAUUUUUUGGGUUUAAUUUAGUUUGUUGGGCUGGGCCAAUUUAGAUUUUGGGCCAAUUGGGCCUUGUGUUUUGGGUUGUAAAAAUUUGGGUUUUGGGCCGGGCAAAAAUGGGCUUGUACACUUUUUAUAAAUAAAAAUAGUGAAAACUUAUUUCAGUAAAAUAAAAAUAAAAUAAAUUACAUUAAAAUAUAGUUUUAAAACUUUUUAAUUCUUUAAAAUCUUAAAAGUAAUUAUUAGUAAUUUAAUUUAAUUUAUAAAUUUUUAGACUCGCGGGUGUAUUCCUAGUGAUUAUAAAUAUGUGUAUCAGUGAUCAUAUUUAAUCAUUGUUUCUUCUUCUCCAUUGUUUCAAAAAGAGAAGCAAAGAGAGGGAAAGAACAAACUGUCACUCGUUGGGGCAGGGGUGAGAGCAGAGGAUUGUGCCUGAACAGCAACCGGCAAGGCAACCAAAGUAAAAACAAGAGCCGCAAAUACAGCCACAAAAGAAACCUUGGAACUGCCAUUUUUUCCUUCUUUUUUUUUAAAAAAAAUUUUGACAACAAAAGAAAAUGUUCUAUCUCAGUCUGUGAUGGCUCUUUUCAAAAAUACCCCUUCAAUGGCUUAGGAGAGCCUCGCAUACGGAGAGCUCCUAAUAUAUAUAAUCCAUGAUGAAAUGGGGACGAAAGGCAAGAAUGGGUUGAAGAAGAUUUUAUAUGGAAGAAAAAGAGGCGAGAAGAUGUGGUCAUCGUUAACGGAUACUGCCUCCAAACAACUGUACAACCUACCAAAUUACCUGAAUCAGCUCGAACCCUCGAAUCCCUCUUCACCUUAACUCUUUGUUGAACAAUCUUAUAAGUCUCAUUGAAGUAAAACUUGACUACAUUUGUAAUGUAAAACCUCAAACACGGCCUAGACGUUAUGGCUGAAUCUGGGAGUGUUACGAAAAAGGGUUUGAAAUUGUCGAUACUUCGAUAAAAUCAUGUGUAGUUAUUUGGUAAAACGUCUAAGUUUUAUAAAAACAAAUUCAUUUAUAUAUUACUAAAACCAUUAUAAGUUGUUUUUUAAAGUUAACCAUUUAUUUUGCAGCGGAAGUUCGAAAAUCGUUUAAAACAAAACCAAGCUUGUGUUUCCAAAAACCAUUUGUUAAAACCAUUUAUUUUCAUAAAGUGUUUUUGUCAAUGUUGUGGAAAAAAAUCAAAACAAAAUUCAAAUCCAAAAGUUAAAACCAUACAGUCUAGGGAGUCCUAAAAAUUACAAACUCUCAAGAAAAACCAGAUUUUAAAAUAAAACUAUUACUACUAAAUAAAAGCAGUUCUCUGUCGAGUGGUCACCGCUGGGGCGCUGCCGCACCGACCCGCCUAAACCUGUGGAUUACCUGAACAGAACAGACAAACAUAUGUGAGUUUUUGUAAACUCAGUGUGUAACCCAACAGAAAUAGUCAUGCAACAUACACAGAAUUUCAUGUACAGUAAGAUACAGAUUUGGACCUAAGUCCAUAACAAAUAUAGAUAUUAGAAUAGGAUAAAUAGAAUAGAUAAAUAGAAUCUUAUUCCCAUCCUCUCCAUACCAUCUCCGACCAUCUCAUCAGACCAUGUAGGGUUAAAACACUCACCCAUCCCAACACACCAUAUAAUGUCGAUGCGAGACAUAACAGAAUAAUAUGUAGUCAAGCUGCCAGAAUAUAGGCGAAAGGUCGCCAUACAGAUCACUUCCUCCACAUAUGCAAAUCCCACCCCAAACACAGAUACAAAAUACAGAAUUAACAAAAUUAACAUUCUUAACAUGCUCGUAUACAAAUAUCAUAUAUACUCAAAUAGAAAAGUCAAAUAUAUCUAUCAGUGUCCUACUCAGAUCAGACUAUCAGAAUGUCAUAUCAUAUGAGUUAGUUAGCCCUUAUUGACCCUACGGUAAGCCCACAGUUGAUCGGAACAACCUGUGCGACCCUAGGGAAAAUUUUAGAAUCUUGGGCCUACAUGCCCAUGUAGCCCACACGGCAUAGCCUAAAACCUACACGCUCAAUCUAGCCUAGCCCGUGUGGCCCACACGACCAAACUCACACUGUCACAUGGUCGUCUCUUGCGUACGGCCACACCUACGACAUUUACACGACCGUGUCUUGCACACAGCUAGCCACAUGGCUGGGCACACGCCCGUGUGGCAUCAAUAGUGCCCUUUUUCGACUUUCAUCGAACAUCGAUUUUUCGUGUUUAGGGUACACACUGGUAGGGUUUUUAUGCGAAAACACUUUCGAGACCACCAGAACCUAAAAUUGACCACUAAAAAGCCAAAUUACCUGUCUUAAAUGAUGCUAAACCGAAACUAUAUCAAACCAAACAAUCCCUUGUUCAACCAAAACCCUUACCUUCAAACAAAUAGCGAUGGUUUCACGUAACUAUGGCACCGAUGGAUAGCCCCGAACCCCUUGAUCUUUACCUAAACGACAAUCACGAAACCCAUCAACCAAAAAAUUCACCAACCAAAAACAAAAACCACACUUACCAAACUGAAAUUGGGUACCAAAAAUUGAAAUACAGCAAAACGCGUGAAAAAUUGAUUACCGAAUUGAAAAAGAGAAAAGAAAAGCAAAAAUUUGACAGAAGUCACAAAGAAGAAGAAGACAGAAAAAUAGAAAACAUUUUAAGGAGAGAGAAAAAAUAAAAUAAAAAAUAAAUUAAACUCAAAUAAAAAUCCCACUAUAUCCAUAUCCAUAACCACCCAACUAACUCAGAAUCCCACUACCACUAAACCACUUUGAAACACCGUCAGUAAGAAUUAACACCUACGCUCACGCAGGAAUUCAAACAUAGGACCUCCAGGAAGCUAACUUUUUACCACUCGAACCAACAGGCGAAUUCUAAUAUGAGUUUACUAACAAGAAAAUAUAACCCAACCCACCAAGGAUAGGGCUAGGGUCUAAAAUAACAAAAUUUUCCAAUUGUGGGACUUGAACCCAAGACCUUAUACACACACUCAGAGCACUUAACCACUAAAGCAUAUACACAUUUUUUUGUUAGAUUUCACAAAAAUGAACUUAAAUUAUUCAGGGUGUUACAUGUAAGCUUAAAUUGUCAUGAAACAAUGGUGGUAAAAUUACUAGCUGUGCAUUUAACCCAACCUGCAAACUCAAUUUUUCGAUUGGCUUUAAUCAUAAAACUCCCAUCAAGCAUUAUGAAAGCUUCUUGUCUUUGAAUGGCCAGCGCUGAACUAUUAUAAGCCAUGAUUGAGAAUCAACAUUGGGAGUUCUAUGAUCUAACUAGAAGUGUAAAUUCGCAUUCACCAGCCAAAAUGAUCUCACAUCGACACCGAUUCCACUAUCGUGAUAGUUACCGUCCUAUAACCAUCCCAAAAAUAAGGUUAAAUCUAGAUCAUAGCUUGGUAAAUUGAAAUCCUCGAUCGCCACAAUCUGUUCCCAAAUUAAUGGGUUAAUCCCACCAGUGAAAAUAACCAGAAAAACCACCUCCAAUCCACGAAUUUCCCGUUGAUCGUCACAAAAACUUCCCUAACGUGCCGUUCCCAUGUGCCAUUGUCAGACUAUUCAUUCGAAUGUAGGAAUAAGAUGGAUUCGAAUACCAAAACUCGUUAUUGUCGUGAAAUGACACAUAUAAUUCCAAAACGACUUGAAUAUUAUUCUCCGAGAAUCUAACUUUUUUGACAUAAACGUCUGAUUUGCUUUCCACUCUGAACUAAUGUCCUCUUUUUUUGUCGGUAGAGAUCAAGAUUCUUAAAUCUGGUAGUGUUUUGAACAAUCCCAAUUCGGCGGUUCCCAAAUUGUCUCACAAGAAUGCUUUGCAUCAUUGCCUCCACCAUGCUAAGCUUUAGCUUUCCAACUCUGACUAGCCCGUCGACCCCAAUGCCGACAUCUCCUGUAAUAAAACACUCAAUUUGUGGGUGGUUUUCUAUUUUUAAAUUUUUGGAUUUCCUAGUGUCCAUUAGACAAUUUGAACGAUAAGAAGAAAGCUCAACGAGAGGAGCUCAACGAGAGGAAAUACAUACAAAAAAAUGUAGGCCAUCUGAUGAACGAAAAAGAAGAUCGGAGACAAUGAAGGUCAAGGCUCAAAGAUGGAUUUUUAGGUUUUCAAAUAGUUUUAUUUUUUGAGAAAAUAAAUUGGAUAACUUUAAGGAAGGGAAAGAGAGGAGCAUUUUGGAGUAAGGUAGCUUGAACAGCGUUGGACAGUAGUGAUGGUGAACGAUGGAAAGAAACAAUGGAGAAGAAGAAACGGUGAUGAUUAUGAUGAUUUUAAAAUAAUUUUAAAAAUUUUAAAAUCAUUUGUUGACGUAGCAUGUAAGAUAAAAUAGUGUCACAUCAGCAUUUAAUUACAUAUGGACUACCACGUCAGCAGUUAAAAUUGAUCAUUAGUCAACUAACAGCCACAUCAACAUGUCUGUUAAAAAUAGAUUAGUUUGAAAAAAAAUAAAUGUUAAAGGUUAAAGUUCCCCCUAAAAAGAAGAUAAAUGGCCAAAGUGACCAAACAGUCAAAUGUUAGGGGCUAUUUUUGGCAUUAUGCCUUAUUGUUAUAGUAAUUUAGAGGUCACGAUGAAUAUGAAAUAUCCUCCGAUUCAAUUUGAAAUAUAAGGUUAUAGAUAGUUUAAUAAAUAAUAAAAAGUGCCAAUUGAGUCUUAGCUUUUUUGGUAUCGGCAUUGUUGCUAGUGCAGGCGGACGUAGAUUCGAGUGCACUGAAGCGCAUUAUCCUCCUAUUUAAGGGUUGAGGAGGUGCUAUGGUAGUUCUAGACAUUGUAUCAAAAAGAGCAAAUAUGAUAAAAACCUAUAAUGAGAUUAAUGUCCAAAAAUAAAUAAAUAAUAAAAAGCAAGUUAUUUGUAUAAAAAUUUAAAAUGUUGAUAAGUAGAUAUAAAUCUUAAAACUAAACAUAAAUUUUAAUUAAAAGUGCAAUUUGAUGUAUGAACUUUGAUUUUGGUUCAAGUUUAUACGUGAAACUUUAAUUUAAACUCAAUUGUAUAUAUUUAAAGAAAUAAUUACGUCAAUUUGUUUUUAUAUUAGAUAAAUAUAAUUAUUUUGCAUGUAAUAUGUAAACUUAAAAUAUUGUUGUAUUGAUAAUUGUGUUAAUAGUUUGUGAAAGUUGAAUCAAAUCAAUUUUUUAUGCAUGAAAUUGCACAAAAUCUAAGUUCAUGCAUAACAUUGCAUAUUGAACUAAAGAUCAUGUAUAGUAACAAGAUUUUAUCCUUUAUAUGUAUAAAGAAGAAGAAGAAGAAAAGCCAAAUUUAACACUAUGGUUGUGUUUAUGGUGAAGUUCAACAAGGGGGGAUUAGGAUGGUUUUUGGCGAUUCACCUGAAUUAAUGCGAGGCGAAGAGUCGCUAUGACUGGUGAUUAGUAGACUGGAUAGGGAAGCCCAAUGAAAGGUUGAAAGAGACAGAGAAGGGAGAAAAAAUGGAGAGCCCCUUUAAUUUGGGAGCCAUUGUUGGCUAUAUAUGAAGGGUUAUGAUCCCUAGGCACCAUGUGUCCUGAUGUCAUAUUGGUGGUCGAAGGGGGAUUACAUCAACUAAUUUGGGUUUAAGCGUGGCUGUUAGGGUGGCGAUUGGAUAAGCUAUCAUUUGUGUCAGGUGGAAUUAGGGCUAGUUUAGUAUUGCUUUUGAAAAGUGCUUUUUAAAAUUACUGUGGAAAAGUGUUGUUCAAAAUUUAAGUGUUUUGUGGAAAAGUGUUGUUUAAAAUUUAAGUGUUUAGUAUUGCUGUCAAAAAAUACUUUUGAAAAAUAAAAUGUUCAUUUUAGAUAUGAUAUUAUAAAGUAACAAUUAUGUAUUUAAAUAAUGUUCAAAUUAGUUAAUAUUAUGAUAUUUUAGCAAGAAUAUAAAAAUAAUUUAUUAUAACUUAUUGUUAAUAUUUUAAUAUAUAAUUUUAAUUUUAAAUAUUUCUAAGUAUUUAACAUUAAUUAAUUAUUAAAUUUAAUUAGAAUAUAUAAACUAUAUUCUAAAUAUUUAAAUAUAAUCAUUAAAUAUUUGUAAUUAGAUAUUAACAUAACAUAGAAAACAUAAACCUAACAAAUUAAAAUAUUACAUGCAUUUGGAUUAAAGUUUCAAAAAGGGGUAAUAUUUAUAUACCAAAUACAUCAUAAAAAAUUUUACAUUAGCAUUUACAAUUUAAAGUGAAUUCAUUAAACUAGAAGUUAUAGCAUCCCUUGUUAAUUGCAUUUCAAAACCACUUGAAUUGUUUGAUUCACCACCAGUGUCAUCAUCAUCAUUUUCUCCAUGCAUAUCUUCUGGAUCAAUAAUAUUCACAUAUACCUUGUUAAUAUUUUAUUAUUCCAUAAAACCUGCAUCAUUUCGACCGACAUGUUUUUGGAUAAAAUUGUGUAUCGCCAUUGUAGCAACAACGAUCAUCGUUUGCUUUUCAAAACUAUAACUUGGCAUUUCCCUUAAAAUGAUCCUUUUUUUUUCAAAACAUCAAAAGUUCGUUUAAUAACACUACGUAAUGAUGAAUGUGAAUAAUUGAAUAUCUCUUCUUUACAAGAUAUCAAUCUACCUCUAUGAAAGUCAGGUAAAUGAUACCGCUGACCUCUAUAUGAUCUAAGAUAACCUUUCAUUUGAGGAUAUCCAGAAUCAACAAGAUAAUAUUUUCCUACAUAUCAUAAUAUAACAAACAAUUAAUUGAAGAAUUUUUUUAAAAAUUAUCAAUUAAAGAACUUAUACUUUAUUAUUUAAAAAAGAAAUAAAUGAAAUAUCUUACCAUUUGGUGAGUGCAAAAAUUUGUAUUUUGGAUCUUGAAUUGCAUCAAGAAAUAUUCUAAUGUCAUGCGCCGAUCCUUCCCAUCCAGCCAUGACAAAGGUGAAACACAUAUUAAAAUUACACACAGCCAUAAUAUUUUGAGUCAGGACACAUUGUUCAUUUGGUGGAAGAAUAGCGGCAAUAUGAGUACCAUCAAUUGCACCUAUGCAAUCCUGAAUAAAUAAUCAUAUUAGUUUCGUGCAUAUUUUUAAUUGACCAAAAAUAUUAAAAUAUAAUAAUAUAAUAUUAAAUUCUAACCUUAAAAUCCAGCAUAUAUAUAGAACCAUUAUGUAUUUGUUUGAGUAUUUAGCUAAAAAAAUGAUCUUCGGGUGCAAUUAGAUUAAUGGUCAUCCUUGAAACUUUCUCAAGCACAAUUGCAAAGAAUCGACUUAUUGUUGCUCCAGACUUUUGAAAUCUUUCUCGACAUAGGGAAACUUUUGCACCGGUGCCCAAGAUAUAUAAAAAACUUCCCAACAUAUCAAGAAAAGAUAUGUGUCUUGAAGUUUGCAAGUUGUAUAGUGUCUCCAAAACUCUUAAUAAACUUGUGAAUACAAUUUUAGACAUCCUAAUAUUAAUCAUACAACGUGAUAAGAUAUAAAAGUAACAUAUUUUAAUCUCAUUCUUGAUGCGUUUUUAGAUGAUUAAUUAUGUAAAUUAAUGAAUUUGAUGCUCCUAAUCCUUUAAAAUCAUGUUUCUAUACUUAGGUAAGCAUAGGGGAUUGAAAAGAGUGAAAAAUGAGCCAAAAUCGUACAAAAAGAGCUAUUUUCAGGAUCCACACGGGCUGGACACACGCUUGUGUGAGCCACAUGGGCUGGCCACAUGCCCAUGUGCUAGCCUAUGUCCAUUUAGAAUUUUGCUUCUCAAAUAGGCGAAAAAACCCAAUUUUUAGGCUUUCUAAGCAUUCUAAAGUCUGUAAAUGCCUAUUAGAAGAAUACCUAAGGGAGCUAUUAGAGAAAAUCAAAGAAAAUAUUCGAAGAACACCAUCGGAGCCAACUCAGAAGCAAAUCUCCAUCAAGAUUGAAGAUCUCCUUUUAACUUCUUUCAAAGCUUUAUUGAAUUUCUUUAUGUCUUGUGGUUUUUCUGACUUUGAGAUGUUUUCAUUCAGGAUUAUGAACUAAUCCCCUAGAUACCUAGGGGAAAUGAAACCUAUGAUGAAUCCUAUUAUUUAAUUUCUAUUUUACGCAAUAAAUACUUGAUUAUUGCUCUCAAUUAUGUAUGCUUAUUUCUUGUUUUAAUAUUUUCAGGAUAUUAAUUCAUGUUUAAUGUGCUUAAUUCAGUAGAGUAAAAGGCCCUGUUUAAAAGCAGAUCUAGCAUAAUUGAGUGGAGUUGCAUGCAAUCCUAGAAAUAGAAUGACAUAAAUCUACCAGAUUAGAGUCAAAUUUAAUAGGAGAAUCCAUAGAUCGAGUUAAUGCGAUGAUAGGAGUUUUAAUUAUAAAGAGAUUUCGAUUAAUCAACCAAGAGUCAGUUGUUCUUACUCGAAAGAGAUAUUAACAUAAUUUAGGGAUUUCUACGGAUCAAGACACAAGUGAAUAAAUCGUUUAAUUUAGAUUCAUAAUAAUAGGUGAAGUCUAGGUGGAUUCUUUAUUGGGUAUUGUCUAUCUCAUUGGUUAUAUUCAAUUAUAUUCCUAUUUUAUUAUCUAUUGCGUUCUUAGUUAGACUAAUUUAGUAAUUUUAGAUUAAAAAAAUCACCCCAAUUUAUUGGCUAAAUAAUAGAAAAACAGUAAUUAAUAGUACUUUUAGUCCUCAUGGAUAUAAUAUUCCCUACUCACCAUAGCUAUACUAUUGUUCGAUAGGUGCGCUUGCCUUUGUCAUAUUUAUAGUUAGUUUAGUGACCAUCACAACGUGAUUCAUGACCAUCAAGGAUCUAUCGGAUCCAUGUCUCACAUGACUGUGUUGAAUCCAUGCAUGGUUGCUUCAAUAUAUACCUCUUAUAAUAUAAUUGCACGAAAGAAGAUGCAACAACAAAUAAUCGAUUAAAAAAUUCCAUGCGUUGUAAAAUCUCUUUCUUUUCCCUUUCAUCAUCUGGGAUUCUCAACCAUACUCAUCACCUGUGAAUAAAUUUUAUAUCCAAAAUCAAAUAUAAACAACUAUUGAUAAAGCUAAUUUAGUAAAAAUAAGUAGAACAUAAAUUCAAUAUCCAAAAACCAAACAUAAACAAUUACUGAUAAAACUAGAUUAAGCAUAAAUAAGUAGACCAUAAAUUCAAUAUUCAAAAACCAAAUAUAAACAACUGUUGAUAACACUAGAUUACACAUAAAUAAGUAGAACAUAAAUUCAAUAUCCAAAAACCAAACAUAAACAACCAUUGAUAAAACUAGAUUACACAUAAAUAAGUAGAACAUAAAUUCAAUAUCCAAAAACCAAACAUAAUCAACAAUUGAUAAAACUAGUUUAGCAUUGUUGUUUAGUUACAUAGUAGAUAUCUCUAGACCCUAGAAGAUCAGAAAAUUUUUAACUAUCCUCCAUUUCCGUCUUAAGCCAAAAAGCUCUAAUCUUGGGAUUAAUUGAUAAAAACAUAAUUCGUUUGUCCUUAUUGAGUAAUAAUUUCAGUGAGAAAAAGAAUAGCGGACUAGCUUCUGGAACUUCUCUGACGUGCUAUCAAGCAUUUUGACUACUUGUGGAAUACCAUAUGGAUCCAUAAUAGGAGUCAAACUAGAUGUGGCUUGACUCAUAUUGUCAACUGCAUUGCAUAACUUUUCUAUUUGAUGAGACAAUCUUGCAGCCUCUCCAAUUUGCUUUGAGGAUUUCUUCCUUCCAGUUUUAAAAUGUGAAGUUGAUAUCUCAGGUGUUUUCCUUUUUUUUUUGUUUCCAUCAAUGUGAACAUCAUUUAAAAUGUGAACAUCAUUUCUCAAGUUUUCUUCCUCAUUUUUUCAGGUAUUUCAUUGUCAACAUCCUCAAAAAAAUCACUACGGAGUGUACCAGAAGAAGGUGCCAUUGCUUUAUCACCUGUUGCAACUAUCCCCAUGGACAUUUAGUCCAACUUCCUUUCGAAUUCAGGAUCAAUGCUCGAUGUUCUAAAUUUUUUAGCUUCAGGCACAACCUACAUAUAAAAUGAGAGUUUAAUAACAUAAAUUAUUAAUAACCCCAUAAAUAAGAAAAAAAAAUAUUCAGAAUUAUUAAAGUACUUUUAGCCUACUCUCUCACCAAUCAUUCGAAGCAUCAAUGGUUCUUUUUAUAGGAUUCCACCUUAGACUAGUAUCUCUGCCUUUAAUUUUCUUCCAAGCCUUCCAUUCUUUUUUCAAGGCAUCCCACCUAUUUUUAAGUUGUCUUUGUGAAUAAGCCAUGCAUGUUUCUUUCUCGACAUUGAUCAUUAUUUUCAACCAUCCAUCUUUUGUGAAAUGAGUACCAAGUCUAUUGCCUUUCUAUAUCUCUUUAAUAUAAAUAUCACAAAAUAUUUUUAUCAAUUUCUUAUCCCACGUUGCUUUUACGUUUUCACCACUAACUUCAACCGCCGAACUACUCAUCUAUUGUGUAUACAAACAUAUUCGUUUCAGCCAGUAAAGCAAUCAAUAAAAUCAAAUGUCACAUAAGUAUAUUUUUUUAUAUGUGCAUCAAAAUCAAGAUAGGAUCCUCAAAUUUUUUUCUCAAUCAAAAUCAACUUUCCAAGAUUGGAAUAAUAUCCAAAAAAGAGAACACAACUAAUAAUUGCAUCAAACACAGUUAACAAAGUCUGUAUGAGCAAUAUUUUGUCAAUUAUUUUUUUGCCUAAUCAUGAAAUCUAAAAAUACAAAAAAAAUGACCCCGUCUAGCUUAAUUAUAACAAAAUAAUAAAUUAAAGAAAAAUAAAAGAUAGGAUACAGUUAGAAAUGUUGACCCCUCCUACUUCUAGAAUCUAGAAUUGCAUUUAUUAUCCACGUUGUAGAACAAAAUAAUUAAAUAGAAAUUUUAUGUGGCUAAAUCAUUUUCUAAUUGUUUUUUUUCAACCAAAAGAAAUUAAAAUAAGUGGUAGCAUGAUCAUGAAUAUUGUGAAUUUGUCAUUGUUUAUUAUUUUAGAGGACUUAUAGCCAGACGGAACUGUAAAAUUAAGAUUGACACUAGUUGUCAACUUCUAAAAUUGAAAAUGCAUUGUUUUAUAUGCUGACUGCCAACUCCACAAAUACAUACACUUUUUACUUCAAUUCCAAUAUGAAUUUGAAUAAUAAUAAUAAUAAUAAUAAAACCCACAUUUCUAGUUUGAAUCAUAGGAAUAAUAAAGUAUAUAACAUUAAUAAAAGAACGUGUUUAAUACAAGUACUGAAUAUCAAUAGUUUAUGGUAUAUUUCGACACCAAAAAGUAAUUAGAUAAAAGUGUACUUUUUGUUAUAAUUAAAAUUUCUACACAGAUUUGACUGAUAAAAUACAAUUCCCCAUUAUCUUUCUUAAUUAAUCUAUAAUCACUCCUCUUUAUUCUCAGUAUAAAAUAACUGCCUUUCUUUUUCCAUCACACAUGAUAAAAAAUGGUUUUGAUUUAAGCUUCCAUUUAUAUAACUCAAUGGUUGGGAUUUAAGUUUUCAUUCCCUUGAUAGAAAAGCUAAUUAAAUAUCAUGGAAGCUAACCUCAGCUAAGCAUGAUAUAAUAAAAGGGUCAGCAAAUCAUGGUUUAAAUAAAAAAAAUUGUUUUGGGAUUUUGAAAUCUAAAGGGAAAAUAAUUUGAAAGAGAAGAUCACCAGUUAAAGAAAAGAUCACAUCUUCCUUGAUCAUUCUGUGUUCUUUAAAGGAAACUUAUUAAUAUGUAACUACAUGUGUGUUUGUACAUAUAUAUUCAUUCAACACACGCACAGAGUGAAAGAGAGAGGCAUGCAAAGCAAAGCAGGAAAAAUGAAGACAACAUAUUAAUUAAAUCCAAUACUGUGCUAAACAAUGACUGAAGCUAAAUCUAGAAACCAAUACUCCUUAAACAAGACUAUUGAACCAGGGUAUAACAACUUAUGUUGAGGAAUAUUACAGAUUGAGUUUCCUCCAAAGGUGUCAAUGGUCGAUUUGGACGGUAGGUAUGGUUUUGAUGCUUGGCCCACAACCAGAAUUGCUAAAAUUGCACUGGUAUGCCAAACUCUCUAACAACCUUUUCCUGCAUAUUGAAUCAAAGAAAGGAAAAUAAGCUUUUGGAGAAGAGAAAAUGAGCUUUUGCAUAAAAGAAAGCAGUCAAUCGAAGAGACUUCUGUGCAUGGUCUCCAAGAAAGAAAGAACCAUAAUUGAUAUCUUGAAGCUUUUGAGAUAAACAACAUUUCGAGAAAACAAAAAAUUAUUUCUGCCAGCAAAAUUGAGCAGGUUUGCUCCACGAAACAUCACACAAAUUAUUUUUUUUUAAUACUUAGAGACUAGAGUUUGAUCUUUUAGUGAUGGAAUCUUCCAACAAUGUGAGUUUCGAUCUCCCCCAUCUAUCAUUGCUUACAGAGAAUAGAAGUGAAAAACAACAAAUAUAAAAAAUAAAACUAAACCCUUCAACAUCAUCACUGCCCUUUAAAGGCAAAAAAUUGUCACAAGAAAAAAAAAAGAAAUGAAAUGAGCCCCAUCUCGUUAAAAAAAAUCAAACAAUUAAUUUUUAUAAUAUUUUUUUCAUAUUUCAUCAUAAACCAGAUAUUGAAAUAUUCCAAUCCAAUAUCAAAAGCUAAAAAAUUUUAUUCUCUCACAAGACAAAACUAUCGCAGAAAACAACUAAACUAAAGCAUAAGGAACAAUAAAGAGAAGAAGAGAAGAACUAAAAUAGUCACAGAAGAAAAGAAGAUCACCAGUGGAGGAAUUAAAAGCAGAACAAAUUAAAGAAAAUAAAAGAGAAGAGAACCAGAUAAAGAAACUUUGAAAGAGAAAGUGAAGAAAAAAUGGGUAUUCUAACGUGUCUUUUGGUAGAAGAAAAAUUGAGGAUAAAAAUGUAAAUAGCCAACAAAAGCAUUUUUGGCUGAGGAAAAAGUUAAAAUUUUCAAAUUUUCCAUCUGUCAAAAAGCACCUUCUUAAGUUGAAAUUUUCACUGAACUUAUAUUUGUUUGGUAAUGCUUUUAAGUGAGAAGUGUUUUUUUGAGGGAAAAACCCUUCUCAGAAGCAUAGUUGAAUAUGCCCUUAGUGUUUAGCGAUUAUUGUCAUAAGCAAAGGUUUAGUGGGGCCCUUACGUGAGGCCCUUGUUUAGCUCAUGCGUGGUGUGUAUUUAGAUCAAGGUGACAUGCAAAGGGGUUCUCUCAAGGUUUGGUGUAACACCCAGUUUUCGAUAAACCCAGAAUUUAGAACAAUUAAGGGACUAAAUUGAAAGAGAUUGCAAGUUAGCAUCCUCUAUUAGAAGAAAAAGGAAAGAUGGAAACUGAAUUGGACAUGGUUAAGAACCAAUUUUGGUUUUGUUAGAAUGGAACCAGUCAGUUCCUUAGUGGGUAAUAAUGAGUGAUGGAUGGUUCUCAUAAGGUUGGUAUUGGCAUAGGAAGUGCUAUAAAUUGUUGGGAAAUAGCUUCUUAGAGAUGAUCUCCUUCCCGAAUAUAUUUUAUUUUCUUCCGUUCUUCAUCCUCUUCGGCAGCUUGAAAAAGGGAUAACCAUGGAAGGUUCUGCAUAAAGCAGACUUCAUGAGGAUGGAGUUGGAAAAGUAGGGAACCAACAAGCUAGUAAGGUUCUUAGCCCUUCUAUGUACGUAAAAGUUAAGGAAAUAAAGUUAUGAACUUUAGAGCCAUUUUAAAGGUUCUGCAUGUUUCUAGAAAAAUGGGUUUAAGUUGAGAAUAUUGAGUAUAACCCAUGUUUUUGGUUGAAAUGCUUAGCUACCAAAAGAAUGAAAGCUCUAAAAUUCAAGAAGGCUAAGCUGAGAAGAUGAUAAAGUUCAGGUGAGUUCCAGACUCUAAACCUGUUGUUACGAUUUAUACUGUCUGAGUAUGUCAUGUUUGCGUAAGCAUGAAGUAUGAUGAUAUGUACAUGCAUUUCAUGAUUGUGGGAAAAACCUCAAAGGGAUAGAUAAAGUUAGGAAGGGAAAUGAGGAGUGAACCUAUUAGUUACCGCCACGGGAAAAGCUUGAGGCCUUGCAGAGGGAACACUGCAGUGUUCGUGUAACACCUUUUACUCGACCCGAAUCACUGAGUACAAAUAUCGGAUGUUACAACAUACAAACACUUUGUGCAAAUUUAACAAACUAUGAAUAAUCCUUUUUCAACAUACUUCCUAUUAUUUUACUUAAUUUCAAAUAUAUAAAGAAAACAUCCAAAAAUAUUACAAACUCUUAAAAUUUAUUGUAAAACAUUAGAACCCAAAAUUUUGUUACAAACAAACUCUCUAGGCUGUAGAAAACUAUACAACAUACUACUAAGAUGACCUCUAUAUGCAUAACAUCCAUCUCGCCAUUUCUUUAGUGCAAUCCUAGCUUGGUCUAUCACUUGGCGAACUCCUUUUUCAGCAGAACCUGAAAUAUAAAUAAAACGCUUUUAAGCUCAUACGAACUUAGUGAGUUUUUAAUACACUUUACCUUGAAACCUUUCGAAUUGAAUUUCAUAUAUUAAAAGUUUGGAUUAACCUUCUUUCUUUGGCAAAUAAUUUUAGAUUAAUGGAUAUAUACCUAUACACCAACUUCCAUACUUAAUGCCCCUCUUACUUCACACUAUGGCGGAUUACAAAUUUUUCUAGUUGAUACAAGUCUUAAUCCUUCUCAGAACACAAGAUACUUAUCAGCUGAAUAUAUAUAUAGAACCCACUUUCUACGAAUUUCCUCUUCAAAAACACUUAACACUUUUCCUCAUAAUGGUUGUUCACAGAUACUAUUUCUUGAUGGAUAUUUACUAAUUGAUCGUACAUUUGGCGGAAUCCCAUAUUGAGUUUGAUAAUCAUCAAAGAAGCAAUCAAAUCAUACUCUAAUUCAAAACCAAAACAACCUUAUACUAAUAAUGAAACAUUCCAAAUCAUUUAGAAGAAUUCCAACGUCUAUGUUACAUAAUAAAAGAACACCCAAUUUGGUAAUCGGCUUAGAUUCCAAGUAACCCUAGAAUGAGACAUGAUACUACUCAUAAAUGGAAGAUACCAGAUAACUCAGAUUUCAACCCUGCAUACCAUAAAAAAUCUCAAACCAAGUAACAUAUAUACCUUUCAUAAUUAUAAAUACGCACAUAUCCUAUACUGAUAAAUUACUACGGUGGAUUUCUCUUCUAGAAAUACACAUACUUACUUCCCUUCAGGAAUUGUCCCUUAAAAGAUCUUAGAGCUUUACACAAACUUAUCACAUAGGCGAAUAACCAGAUUUUGCCACUAGGCAUUACUAAAUAUGCCACAUAAGCAUUUCAUGGUUCACCAUAAAAGCAACAUAGAAUAUGUUGUAAAGGCAUUUAUAGAAAACAUCAUAAAGACAUUUAUAGAAUACGUCACAAACGCCAAACAGAAUACGCUACACAAGCCAAACAAAAUACGCCACACAAGCCAAACAAAAUAUGCCUCACAAGGCAAACAGAAUACUCCACAAAGGCAAUAUUGAAUACGCCACAAAGGCUCUGUUUGGAUGCCACUAAGGUACCACAUGAACAGUCAUGUUUGCGAUAUGAAUUUGCCUAAACUCAUCAUUACAUGAGGCUUUCCUAUCAUCACCCUAGGACAGGUAGAAACCCUAGUAGAUAAAUGUGGCUCAUCUCGAAAUAGUAGCAACAAUUGUUUAAAGAACGUAGAACCACUAUUAAAACUCAUUUAUAGACAAAUGACUAACAUCUUAAUUACAUAAUACCCUCAUGUAGGGUUUCUUAUUGACAACUCACUAUUCAUAUGCUUUUUAAUAGCUUUAUUCUUUCAAAAACGUAACAUGUAGAGCUAUCAAACUUACCAAAAGGUGGAGCAUCCACACAUUAAUUCAAAUACCUUAACUUCCAUAUUAAUAAUGGGGAAGAAAACAUAUAAAUUUAAGAAGAAGAACUAGAGAGUAAUAUCAAAGGAAAAAGAACUAUCUAGACAAAUCCUUUACACAAUAUAUAUCCAAUUCCCUUUAGUGGAACUUGACAAGUGUCAAAUGUAUCAAGAAUUUUUCCUAAUAAAUGACCUACAAAGAUCUGAUAGAGAUUUAAAUGAUGAACUUGUACAUAACCUAUUUUACCAAUCAAUUUAGUUGGCUCCUAACCAAAUCACGUUACAAAAUCCAAUUAGCAUAGUGCUUAGACAAACAGGGUGUACUAUACACUUAGCGUAAGUCUUACCAGGCUUACUCUUCGCUUGCCAUAAUCUUUUCUUAAUUAACAGAAUAACCUGAGAUAGACUCUUUAAUUACUUACACGAUAGAUACUUUACGCCAAAUCUUAUUCACCAAAAGACUGCAAAUGGGCAGACUACACUAUGCCAAAUAGACAAUUUCACAUCUACAUGACUUCUGAUUGGGUUCACCAAAUUUGGGGUGUGACAAUUCGUGCAUCAAUGUUAAGUGGUAUAAAGGAGGUAAUGGAAGUAGGAUUUCGGCCAAUUCGGUCUGGGCGAUGACAUCGAGAGAUAAGUAGUUCUUACCGACUCAUUAGGUUAAUGGAAGGUCGAGAGGCCCUAUUAGGUUAAUGACUAGUUGAUUGAGUACAACCCGAAAUAGGAUUUCAUUAUGAACACUGAAGUGAGUUAGUCUCCUAUCUUUCAAUCUGAUAAAAUUUGCUAUCUAUCUCCACUAUUAUUUUUCUUAUUGUUAAAAUAGUUUUUCUCAUCACCUUAGGAUUAAUCUUAAUGUAAUUUAAUUAAAUUACCAAUUACCAAUUAGACCCAUUAUCGUAUAAAUUAGUCUUAGUUUAGUCUCGCCUCCCUUGGCUACUAUCCUCGGAGUACUUUCAUAUUUCGUUGUAAAAAUUAUAUUACAACCUGACUCGUAUACUUACAGACGCCACCUUUAUUCAUAUCUUUAGUAAGUAGUAUUCUCACUUUCAAAGUUGGUACGUCGGGAGGCAAUCAUCACCACACCCAUUGUUGAUGGUGAAGUUUAAUAAUAGAGGAUUAAGAUGGUUUUCAAUAAUUCACCUGGUUUAAUGCAAGGUGAAAAGUCGCUAUGAGUGGUGAUUAAUAGGGUGGAUGGGGAAGCUUGACGAAAGGUAGAGAAUGGAGAAAAGAAGAGAGAGAGAAAGGGGGGAGAGAGAGAGAGAGAGAGAGAGAGAGAGAGAGAGAGAGAGAGAGAAGGGGAAAAAAAGGGAUAGCCCCUUGAUUUAGGAGUAAUUGUUGGCUUAUAUAUGAUGGGCUAUGAUCCCUAGGCACCAUGUGUCCUAAUAUCAAUAAUGACCGAGGGGGACUAUAGCAGCUAGUUUGUUGUGGCAAGUCUAGGUUUAGGCGAGGCUACUAAGGUGGCGAUUGGAUAGAUUGCCAUUUAUGUUAGGUGGAAUUAGAUUCUAGCGGCUAGUGUUAGAAGCGCAGGUUCAAUGAGGCCCUUGUCUAGUUCAUGUGUGGGUGUAUUAAGAUCGUGGAGUUCUCACAUCGCUUUCUUGCGAGGUGUUAGGCGAGGAGUAUGCAUCUUUGGUGCUCCGAAAUGUGAUAUGCAAGGGGUUCUCCUAAGGUGUGACACUUUUUUUUAGGUGUUUUUUUAAUUAUAUUCAAUUUUGUUAAUAUUAGUAUAUAUGAUAUAUUAAUUUUAAAUAAUUUUAAAAUAUAAGUUGUUUCUAAAUUUAAUGUUAAUAUAUAAAUCACAUUUUAAAGGCAAAUGACCUUUUUUGGCCCUCAACUUCACAAAAUAUCAUUUUAGCCCUCCAUUUAAUUUUUUUUUCUUUUAGCCCUUAAACUUACAUUGUUUGUCAAAUAGCCUUGAAAUGGAUGAAAAAGUUAAUGUUUGUUAACUUUGUUGGCAUGGCGUCAUACACGUGGCAACUAACAAUUAAUUAAUUUUUAAAAAAUUUUAAAAUAUAUACAUAAUUUUUAUAUCUUUUUAGUAGUUUUUAAAUUUUAAAAAUUAUUAUUAUACUUUUUUUAAAAAAUUUUAAAAAUUUUAAAAUUUAUUAAUUAUUGGCAUGGCAUCCAUGUGGUAAUUCACAUGUACGCUACAUCACUAAAGUUAACAAAAGUUAACUUUUUCAUUCAUUUUAGGAUAUUUUAACAAACUCAAGUUUAAGGGCUAAAAAAGACAAAAAAGUAAAUGGAUGGGUAAAAUAAUUUUUUUAGUAAAUUUGGAGGGUCAAAUAAAUCAUUAUACCUAUGUUAAAUAUUAAAAUCUCAUACGAGAAUCUAUACUAUAUUUAAGGGGUUUAUUGAGUUAGUAUUACUCUUCAAUCGCGUCCCAACUCAAUUGAGUAAUUACCAAAACUCUUUCCUUUUACAAAGUAAUAAACAUAUAUUAUUGUCAUUUCAAUUAAUGUGAAAUCUAGAAAAAUAUAAUUGAUAGGAUUCAAACUCAAAACACAAUAAAUUUUAACAUCUUCACCGCUUCAAUUAAAGUUUCAUUUGAUCUUUAAAUUAAUUUGUAUAGAUAUAUUUAUUACAUAAUUCUUUCACCAACAUCGUAGAUGUUCCAUAAUUUAAUAAAUUUUAUAAAUUAAUUAAAAUUUUCACCCAAAAAUGUAUUUAAAAAGAAAUAAAAUUUAUCGACCAGGUAUUACCUCGAUUAGCAUCAACAUUGUUGUCAGAAUAGGAGGACGUAAGUCCGAGUAUAUUAAAGCACAUUUAUCCUCCUAUUUAAGGAUGAGAAGAAAUUAUGAAUAGUUCUAAAUAUUAUAUAAAAUUAAAAUUAAAAUUAAUUUUUUUUGUCAAAAAUACUCAAUUCGCCAAUAAUAUUCCAUCAAAAGACCGAUCGAAAAUAGUGUAUUUCUUGAUAGAAUAUUUUUCAUAAAUUUAUUUUUUUAAAACACUACUUUUUUUGAGUCAAUAAUAUAUCAUCCUUAAUAAAAGAUAUAACACUACGAGCAUGUUUGGUUGGGGGAAUAGGUAUGCGUUCCCCUCAAUUUUGAAGGCCCACCACCAAACGGGCAUUUGGUUGACUGUAAUAACAUUACAGCCCGAUUCAGUUUCGCCCCUAUUACCCCCAUUGGCUGUAAUAGCCAUUCCCCCCAUUCAGCGCCGAUUAGGGAUUCCAUUCCCGUUUCUUAUUUUCUAUUCCAGUUUCUGCCCUCAUCAACUUCAUCUUCCCAGACAUUUCCCUUUCAUAUUGCAAGGUAAUUUUUUCCCUUCCAUCGAUUUAUGCUUCUUCUUCUCGUACGUUUGUUUUCUUCUCUUUACGUUUCUUUUCUUUUCUCCAUUUUAUCAAGAACGAAAAAUGCUCGCACUCUUUCCCUGUUUUUCUUUUCUUUUCUUUUCUUUUCAGUAAAAUCAAUUUCGUUUUUCUUUCUACUCCUAACUCUACAGCAGCCUGACAAGUCGUUACAUCACUCUUUUAGCAGCUCGCACUCUUCCCCUGUUUAUUUUACAGGUUAGUUUUCCUUUUGCUCAAAUUUGCAAUAUUUUUUUUGUUCUCCUAAUUUUGAUUCUUUUCUUAUGAUUUCCAUUGGGCUUUUCUUUGACUGUUUCUAUUGCACGUUCGAUUGAACAGAUGAAAAGUUUUUCAAUGUGGUUCUAUACUUGUUUAUUCUAUUGCAUGUUUGACUGGUUCUAUUAUUUUUCGAAUGGCUUGUGAUUUCGGCUAGUUGAGUUCUGUUUAUUUGCAUUUCUUGAAAUUUCCUAAUGUUAACAUGGAGUUCAUGUUUUAGGAUAUCUUUCUGGUUCUGGAGGUAGCAUCCAACUUACCUCUUGAUUUUCAGUAUUUCACUAGUUAUUUUAGUGGAUGUUUCCCAGUUUGAUAUGAUGUGUUUGUAGUAUCGUGAAUUUAAGUUAUUUUCUUGCUAUUGAGUUACGGGUGCUUAAAUUUUAUAAAAUUUUCAAGGUGAACUUGUUUCUUGAUUCUAGGUUCAAAUUAAACCUUCUGGACAAACUGAUUCAUGCAUGGUUACAAGAAGUAAUUUAAAGAACCUGUAAGGGAUUCCACUUCACUGCUGCUCUUAUUCUUUUGAAAGUCCUUUCAGAUGAUAGCUGCUUUUUCCCUUAUGAUGUUAUGAAAGAAAGAAUCAAAUUGUUUCAUUAUUUGAUGUUGGGAGAAAAUUUGAGUAUUUUUUGAACUUGAAGAUGUUGCAUCUCUUGUUGUACUUAAUAUACUGAUUUGUUGCUUUCCAAAUAUGUGUUGAUUUUUGUUGAACUCUUCUAACAGAUAUUGGAUAGUGACUCAACAAGUAGCACACCACACAAUCAAUGGUUGCAACCUGAGGCCAGGCGAUCUCCUUAGAACUGGGACCAUUAGUGGGUCUGUAUGUUUAGUACAUUACCUUUCACUUUUGUAUCCUUUUUGCUUUGUAUGUAUGUAUCUACCAAUCCACACACAAACAUGCACAAGUAAUGAAUGUGUUUAUGUGUUAGAAAUUUCCUAACUUAAUCAAUUGCUCCUAGCCUCUGGUGUUUUUUCAAUGCACUGAAUAAGACAGCCAAAUAGGUCUUUGGACAUUACACUUGGCCAUUCCCUAAGAAAAGCUCAUUUAAACCAAUUCACUUAAUUAUUUAUUGCAACUACCUUUAAAGCAAAGUAUGAGAUGGAAGAGUUGCAUUGAUUUUUUUUGGAAAACUAAGAGUUGAGUUUUUAUUGAAUAGAAUGGUUAUGCUACUGAGAGUUGGGUUAUAAAGUGAUGCAUGUAAUCCUUCCUUGAAUAUUCCAAUAGUUUUAUGUAUUUAUGUUAAUUGCCUUGGAUGAAGUGAAAAAUAACUGAGAGUCAGUUUUGGUAUAGUGUUGAUCAUGCUGCUUGUUUGAUAUAUGAGUCACAAUAUGAUGAUUAUUCGGUCAUACUGCGUCUGAUGUUUUUUAUUCUUCAAGCAAUAACUAUAAAUGAGUCUAGUACUGUUUGCUUAAAGUUUAGCCUCUUAUAUUUUGGGUAGGAAUUUGAAUCAUUUGGAUGUUUGCUGGAACUAACAUGGAAUGGACAAAAACAAUUUCCAUUAAAUGGGACAACUCGAAAAUUCUUAGAAGAUGGAGAUGAAGUAAUCUUCUCUAGUUGCUGCAAGGUACUUCUUGUGUUCCACAUGGUUUUUAAAACUAAAUUGCAAACUCAUUUAUAUCCCUAUCAUGCAAUUUAUAGAUAGGCUCGAGUCUUUGGCCUUGAAGGAAUUUUAAACAGGUGAAAUGAAACCACAGUGUUUUAGGAUAUCUUUCUGGUUCUGGGUUAUUGGUUGAAGUUUUGGUAUUUAUGGGGUUUAAAAUUAUGGAAUUCAGAAGCUUAGUAUAGUAGGGUUUAGAAUCUAAGGUUUGAGCUCGAGGAGAAUUUAAAUUUGUUUAUCUCUAAAUCCUCGCUGAAAGUGAAAGUUACUAUAUAAAACGUGGAGUCAUUUGAUGUUAAAGUCAUGGUCAUGUAUUGUUUCCCAAAAUCUUUUACCUCCAAUAGGAGGAAUAGAAAAAUGUGUAAUAUAGAGUGAUUGAUUUCUGAAUUAUAAAUUGCAUAUAGGGAGAUGGUUACAAUGUUGGUUUUGGAACCUGUGCUGGUAAGAUUGUCCCACCACGCGAUUGAGGAAACUUUUUUACUUUAGAGAUAAAAGAAGAUCACGUGCCACUCACUCAAGUCGUUGUUGAUUUAAGAGAGAUCAUACUGGAAAUUCAGAGAGUUUACGAAAUGGUGUGUUUGUUGUAUAUGUGUUGACUGAUCACUCCUACAAUGUUAAUAUAGUUGUAGGACUUGAUGGUAUGCUGGAACCUGGGUUUGCCCAUUAAGUAAUAAUAUUUACUAGCUAGCAAAGCCAACUUUUUUAUUUAUUAAUUUUGGAGGAAAACUAAGCACUUAAACACACUAGGGCCUUAUACUAUAGUUGAAAUUGAAGGACCUUUCGAUGGCUGGUUGAUUCCAUACCUCAACGUGACACAUAAUUUUGCAAUGAUCAAACCACUUUUACAACCCUUACAUUGAAGUCUACCUUUGCACUUGAACCCUUUCCCAUUUCAUUUAUUUGAAUCCCACAUCCACAGAUCCAACGCAAAUCAUACUUCUUUAUGGUAACUAAAUUUAUAGAGUGAAAUAAUUAGUUGCGCAAAUUUUCACCAAAUAGUCCAGAUUGAUGGGUCAUGGAGUUUAUGAUUUGGGAACAAAAAUCCAUUUUCCUUCAUAUAUUUUCUAGGUCAAGUUGCCUAAAGUGUUCCAUUAAUCCUGAAAAGUGGAAACUAGAUCAUAUAAAUUGGAGUUGAUUGAGAAGAUUAAUUAAGAUGUAAAAAGAAUUGGCAAAUUACCAAUAAAAGCCCUUGGCGACCAACUCAGUAAGAGUAUUGCCUUCGAUGUGGUAGUUCAACAAAAGUCGGAAGAAUUUCAGGUUAUUCGAAAAGAAGCUAUAAAUUUAUAUCCAGCAUUAUGUGAAAUAAAAGGUUUAACUGUGGAUGAGCGCUAUCAAGUAUUGAGCAAAAUUUCAGAUCAUCCAACGUAAAUGUUCAUUUUCUUCAGUUUACCUUCUUCUGUUCGAUUGGAAUGAGUCAGAAGAUUUCUUGUUGACCAUUAAAAAUCAUGGUUCUGUUGAUGAUAUUUUGGGGACUUUUUGUGUUUGUAAUAUAUGGAUUAUGACAUAAAAACUAAUGAAGUCAUGUAACCUUUUGUUAAUAUAUGAAUAUUUAUGUUUAUGCAAAAUUUAAUUCUUAAGUUAUUUAUUACUUCUAAUAUUUUUUAAUUGUAGAAUAAUUAAAUUAUUUGUUUCAUUAAUGAUAUUUUAGCACAUUAAAUAUGUAUUACGGUUAGGUUAUAUAUUAUUUUUAUAUUAUUAUAUAUUAUAAUUUUAGUAAAUUCAUAUAAGAAUAAUAAAAUUUUAUAAAAUUGUCUUAAAUUAGUAAAUAUACAGUACAAACUAGGCUGACUUUUCUUCUUUUUUUUCGUUUUUGGAGAGAACAAACUAGGUUGCCUAUUGAAUAUGCUUUCCCGAGUUUUGUAAUAAAAAUAAUCGAUAGUGGUAGCAUGUGAACUUUGGAAAUUUGGCACUUUCCUAAGCAAAAGACAAAUUAGUAGGUAAUUAUUGAAAACAAAGAAGAGCUAUACCGUCACAUAGAUGAGCUAUAAACAAUGUGGGUCUGAGUCAACGAAUAGACGAGCUAUACCCUGACUAAGAGGGUAUUCACUUUCAGGAUGUGGUCAUCACAGAUCAAUUAAUACUUACGACGGGAUAUUGGCACUCUGUUGAGGUAUUGCUUGGAAAAGAGGAAACAUACAGAUCAAGUAUUCAGUGGACGGGAUCCCCAUAGAAACACGAGCUCUUUUUUUCUUUAUAUAAGAACAGGUCCUAAUCCAUUUUACACUGAUAAAAUAAUACCGGUUAAGUCGUGAUGUUUAGAUAAAAUCUUUCCAGUGGUAAGAUUUGAACCAGCUUUUUUUAUGCAAGAGUUAGUGUAAUUAUUGGUAUAAAAAUGACUUAGUGAAUCUAAAAGAGUGACUGGAAAUAAAAUCUGAAAGAGGGAGGCCGAACAGUGAGAUGGAGGUGUAAUUGCUUGGUAGGCAUAAGAUCAGUUUGGUUCAAUUUUUCGGUAUUUUUGAACUGAAAUAAGGUAUUUGAUAUUUCUAUUUUCUGAACUGAAAUUAAAUUGGUGGGCAUAAGAAUUGUACUAUAUCUGAUCGAUUUGGGUUUUGAAUUUUCAUACUUUUUUGAGUUUUGAGCUUUCAAACUUUAUUUAGACAAAAGAUUUUUAGAUUUAAACUUUUUAACUUUAAUCAAAUAAAACUAUAUUUGUUUUAUGUUUCUUUGAUUCUAUUUAACAAUUAAAUUUUUUUUCCAUUAUACAUAAAAUUUCUAUUAAUAUAUUUAUCUAAAAAGUAUUUUGUAAAAUCUAUAAUUAUAAAUAUUUAUUAAAAUUCAAUUAAACUUUGAUUUAAUCACUUUUAAUCUUCAAUUAACAUACUCAAAUGCUAGAUUAUUUGUACUUUAUAACUAUUAAUUUGUAAUAAUAGCAAAAAAACACUCAACUUGAAAAUGUUAAUAAUGAUAACAAAAAUUUUAAAAAUUUUAACAACAAAGAAUAAUAGAAACAAGAACAUAGUAUGUAUGAAGUAAAAAAGAGAUGAACAUUUGAAUUCUUAGAACCUUUAACAAUAAUAAUAAAUAAGCAAUGAAUUUGUAAGAGACUAACAUUGAAAUUAGAUUUAGGGUUUAUUUUUCAUUUUUAUUUAAUUAUAAAAUAUCUAAAAUCAUAAUAAAACUUAUAUUUAGAAUUUAGAAGCAAUGAAUUUUGUUUUGGGAUCUAAUGAGUUUAUAUAUUGAGUUUAUGUGUUCAAAAAUAUUAUGUUAUUUUUAAAAAAAUAUUUAAAUGGUUUUUUGAAGUUUUCGAUGUCCAAUGAGAAAAAUUAAAACCAAACUAAAUUAAUGUGAUUCAAUGGUGAUAUUUAACAAAAACCGAAUUGAAUUAUAAAAAAACUAGAGCAAAAUCAUAUUAAAUUAUCGAUUCAACUCGAUUUGACUCGAUUUCUCUAUUUAGUAGAUUUUUUUUUCAUCCUAUUGCUUGGAGAAGAGUAAUGGAACGGUGAGGGAGGCUGAGCGAUGUGAAAUGAACGGGAUUGGACAACUAACAACAAUGGAGGUGGUGUCGUGGCUUGUGAAGAACAAGAAAAAGAAAAGGAGAAUGAUGAAACUGCAUUGAGGUCAACCAACUUUAGUCAAAAUUCUAUUUUGGUACUCAACUAUAAAAGGUUUUAAAUUGGUCACUCAAUUUAUCAGGUUCAUUUUUUUUGUCAGUUUUCGUUAUGUGUUGUUAUGUCUGUGACAGAUUGAUGACAUGACAGAUUUAAAAUUAAUAUAAUAACAUUUUGAGCCAUUUACAUGUUUUAUCAAUUUGGUCAUGAUUAUAAAGGAAUUAAUCCUCAAUAUUUAUAAAUUAUCUCAAUUUAAUCCUAAUUCUAAUCAAAUUUUAAAAUUCUCAUAAAAUUUUAAAAUAUAAAUAAAUACAUUUAUAUCUGAAAAAACUUUUUUUUCUCAAAAUUAAGGUAUGAUAUAAAAAAAUUUAAAACAAAGGAUUAACUCUUGUUCAAAGUUUAGUUGAAUCUUUAAUGUUGUAUUUAAUUCAACUUCUAAAAAUAUUUUUGUAAAACCUACAUGUAUUAUCAAAAGUAUUAUUUAAAUAAUAUAAUAUAACAUAUUUAUAUAAAAAUUAAUAAUCAAUAAUCCAACCUGAUUGUUGAAUUUGAAUGUGUGACAUUAAAUUACGUUGUUGAAGCAACUCAUAUCAAACAAGCUCAAAAUCCAUAUAAUUGAAUCACAUAAAUACAUAUCAAUCAUAAUCUAAUCAAUUAGAGUUUAAGCAAACUCUAAUACGAGAAUAAGAUUCAAAUCCAAAUUCUUUUCAUCAAAUUUUAUCUUGAUAUCUCAAGACAUGGAACCCCAUGUCUCAAGAUAGGGCAUAAUUUAUUUUUCAUAUUUUUAUUUUGAUAAAUGGAUACUUGGAUCAAUCUACCAAGAGACCAAUAUACGUACCAAAAUUCUAAUCAGGGAUAAAUGUGCCGCCAACCACAUAAAAAUAUGCUUAUACCCUCAGGGAAUUUGAGCUGGUGAUAUGUUCUAGACCCCUAGGGUAUUAAAGAACUAUCACAGUAUAUACGUACAUAGCAUUUAAUCUCUCACGUACCAAAGUGGAUCUACAUGCCAAAUAUACUCGUAACUCUAUCCAACAAUAUUAAUAGGGCAUAUCCAUUUAUCAAUAAUCGUAGUGUAUGUUUACAAUAGAAUAACAAUAGAAUGUCACAUAUCAAGCAUACACAUAUUCAACUAACAUGCUAAAUAAUCACAUAUCACAUAGUAAGGUAUAUAAGUACCUUUUGAACAUAUUCAACAUGGAUAGUUUUCUAUUUUCAUUCAAUUAUUGAGUUAAGAAUAUAUAGAUAUUUAAUGAAAACAAAUUAUGAAACCACAAACCGAAAGCGAUUAUUCGUCAAUAGCUUUAGAUUUUCCUUUGUCCCGUGAAGGUCCUACAUCAUAUUUAGCUACAAAAAUUAAAUAUGAAUGCAGAAAACUCUUUAAUCAUGCAAUUCAAACAUAGAUUAUAGCAAUAUAACUUGCAUGUAUUUAAUUACUUUUUUCCUUCAAUACCCUAAUAUUUGAAAUGCCUGUAUCUAACGAUUUACCUGAUCAAAUCUAAAUCUGACUUCAUUAGUAUAGUACAAAGACUUCAUGUUACCAUUAUUUACUAUUAAACAUCAAGGUUUUUAUCCCCAAUAGUUUGGUCCCAAUGUUGGAUCUAGUUCAUUAAGUGUAGUAUAUUUUGUCUUUGUAUAGUUGUAUUUUCGAACAAAUUGAAUUAAUAAAAUAUCAAUUGCUUACUUUAAUAUUUCUUGUAUUAUGUUGUCAGAUUGUAAUACAGAAAGACAACUUGUAUUAGUUGAUAAACCUAAACAUGCCCUUAGCCUAAUUAGAAACGAGCAAACUAAUUGAACGACUAACAUGACAUCAACCAAGUUCAAUUUGGGAGAUGCUUUGUCUUAGGCAUUGUAGUGGAUGGCUCCCAGGGGAUAAAGAUAUAGAUGUGAAUGACUAGAUUGACAAUACAUUAGAAAAAAACUCAAGUAGAAUAGAUCCUAAAUCUUUUUAUGAAUUUAUUCACUUGUGACGUUCAUAGUGUGGCAUACCUUAGUCUUGAGUGGAUGAUGGAUUAUGUACGCAUGACUCGUAUACUUUGAUUUAAGUAAAAGUCUGAGUUCAAAUAGAUAAGGAACUAAAAGUUGGUAGAUAUGGUAUACAACUUCUAAAGUAUGUAGUAUCAUUUGCAAUAGAGAAUUUAUAGUCCAACUAAAGGGUAAAUGAUAUCCUCUUAUCGGCAUUACAUGAUAGGGGGAAAGUAAACAUGGUCACGAGUUGUUUGUCUUUGUGAUAAAUGAAUUGAUUACAAUUUAAUAGUAAUUGACUUUUCAUGAAGAAAGAUGCAAUGAUUAAAAUAGGAUUAUAUUGGAAGAACAAAUUUACGCAAGGAGAUUAAUGAUAUCUUAUGAGGGUAACACACUUAUGACAAGGUCAUUGGAUGAGUAUUGUUGACACUAUUUUUUUGUGAAAACGGGGUCGACUUGGAUUUUAAAAAUGAAAAUGAAAACGGGAGUCGCCACCAAUCCUUUUUGAUGAGGUGUGAUCGGGUCACCUUGAAAAGUGGUUGUUUUUAAUAAACAAUUUGAUUUUAUUAAAACAAUGAUUUUGGUCUACGAAAUUCAGAAAAGCAGGUUCGGGAGUCGGUUACGCACGAGGAAGGAUUAGCACCCUCGUAACGCCCAAAAUUGGUACCUAGUUGAUUAAUUAAUGUCUUAAUGUCGAAGAUUGAGAACUUUGAAGAGUUUUUUAAAAAUCUAAUCCUAGUAAAAAACUCGAAUAACAUGGAUUGAAAUUUAAGAUUCUCUUGUUCUGAAGAAAUAUCAAAUCCAGCACAUUAGGACACGAUACUUUAAACCAUCGAACCCAAGAUCACCUUAUGGUUUCAAAAACUCAUACUUUGAAGUUUUAAGAGGAUGCUUGGCUAUUUGGUCAAACGAGAAAUUUAAACCCAACACGUUAGGGCACGCUUUCUCGGAUUUCCAAAUGCAAAAUAUUACCUUUAUUAUUUUUUAGAGAAAUCCUUAUAUCGAGAAAACAACAUCUCAUAUCCAAUGCGUUAGGACACAACGUAUCAAACUCCCGAUACGAGAAUACAUGCCGAAAAAAUUACUUAUUUGAAAGACAUUCGAUUAUCUCUAUUUUAGAAAAGACCAUAUUUCGUAAGUUAGAACACGAUCUUUUAUUAAUUCAUGAGAUCGUUUUAAAAGCUUAUGUUUAAUAAGAUUCGUGUAUUUAGAUUUAUCACGAAAAUCGAAACCCUGUAAGUUAGGGUACAACCUUCUCGAAUCUAAACAUGAAAUUUUGCUUAUUCAAACGUCAUAGUUUAAAAGGAUAUUUUGCUAUUUAAGUUAAACGAUAAAAUUGAAACCCCGUAAGUUAGGGUACAAUUUCUCAAAUUUCCAAAACGCGAAAUAUUGCCUUAUUUUAAAACUUUUCCACUUUUUGAAUAAUAGCAAACACAAUACUUAAACAAUGUGCAUUUGUUUUAUUUGUAAUAAGAAAGGAAGGUUUAUUAUGGAUAUAUACAAAUCGAACGCAACUUUUGAAGUGAUAAAAUAAAGUGAAAUGAUAAUAUAGAACAUGAAAUGACAAUUCAUGAAUAAAAUAUCACGUUAAUAAAUGGCAAUAAUGUGAAAACAAAUAAACAAAUUACACAUACAUAAUGAUAACAAUUAUACCACAUGCAUCACUUUAACAUACCACUAUUAAUUAUCCGAGUAAACGAAACGAAAUAAUAGAGAACAAUUUUACUUAGCUAAUAGUAUAAAACAAGUAAUUUAUGAUAUAAAUUCAAAAUAUUUCAAGCAAACAAAAUACGAAACUUUAAAUGAGAAAUACUAAAGUAGUUUAAAAUAAAUAAAUAAAAUAAACCACAAAACAGUGUUCUUUUUCUUUAUUAAAAAUAAUAUAUAUAUAAAAUUAAAGGACAAUGUACAUAAGGCAGUUUAAAACAAAUAAUGUAAUAAAAAAUUUAAGUAAACUUUAGGUAAAACAUUUAAAAUAAAUGAUAUAUGUAAAACUUAAAAUAAAUAAUAAUAAAAGAAGAGCUCUUAAAAAAACAAAUAAAUUAAUUAAUUUUUAAAAAAAUAAAGAAUAAUAAAUUAAUUAAAUGGAAUAAGGACAGAAUUGAAAUCAGACCCAAAAUUUGGGGUUUAAAUCGUAAAUAAAUAAAAGUGGAGGGACUACAACAAAAUGGCUGAAGGAGCAAGGGACUUCUAGGGAAAUAUUCCUAGUCCUAAAACGCAGUGCUUCAGCCAGGAUUAAAAUGAAAUUAGCAUAAAAUUUAUGGGCCAAUGUGAAAGAAACAAAAGGGUCAGAUUGCACUGAACUAUAAAAGAGGAGGGGCUGAACGCGCAAAUAGCCCCUCCAGGCGCAACACCCGGAUCCUGACCUCAUUCGGGUCGGGUCUCGGAUCGGCACUUGGGUUUUAUUCCAAACGGUUCCGUUUUGGCCAUGGAUGCUAAGGUCCAAAACAACGCCGUUUUAAAUCUUAUAUAAAUUUAAAAAAAAAACAAAAAAAACAUUUCUCCCCUUUCAUUUUUUAGAAAAAAAAAAUCAGAGACCCCUUUGGUCUCUCUCCUUCUCAGCCUUCCCAUGUCCUCCGACGAUCGGGCUUCUCACCGCCAUUCAUCCGUCUGCCGCACCGCCACUAAACCGACGGCCGACGAAGCACGACGAAGGGCUUUUAAAGCCCAGUUUCCUGGCGAUUUGAAAAGUUGGAUCUUUGAACCCCCAUGAGCACCGAGAUAGAGGCUUAUAAUCCCCAUUUUCGGAUAUGGGCCAACGAUGGAGAAACACCCACCGACGGCGCAGUCGCGAGGUAUCUCCGGUAAGCCCUUUUUUAUUAUUUUUUGUUUUAAAAAAACAAUAAUGAAAAUAAAGAUAAAAGAAAUAGACCGAUUGAAAUAGAAAACAAGAAAUCGAUUUGAAUAUACUUUGUUUUUAUUUUCUCCAAUAUUCGUAAAAAGAAAGAACAAGUUACAGUAAUGAUCUUUGGCUUUUAUAGCUGAUUACAACUGUUAAUCUCUAUUUUAUUUUGUCGUCUUACUAUUUGGCUAUUUGCUGUUGCGUGUUUUUGCUGUUUUGUGGGUGUCAGAAGCUGACGGUGGUGGCAGACGCAUGAAGGAGGUGGCGUGCGGUCCCAGCAAGGCUUGGGGAGGAGCGGCGCAAAGAGGCUUGGUUGGGGCUAGGGUUUCUGCUGCUAGUUUAGGUUACGGGCUAGUUAUUUGGGCUUAAGCUUUUUUUACUAUUGGGCUCUUCUGAUUGGGUCUGUUUUUGGGUUAGUAAUUAGAAUGGAUUUGGUUUAUUUUUUGUGUUUGGGUUUAAUUUGGGCCUCGGGCAAAAUUUAGGCUUUUACAGCUGCCCCUCUUUGCUCAUUAUCAAGUAACGAGAACAGAGCAGUGACUAAGAAAGACCAAUUUUGCCUGGUCUCAUUGACUCUUGACUUAUUCUGCUCCAAUCCACUGUGUCUUGCUGCUUCGAUCCACUCCACUGCACUUCAGAGAGAUACGGCUUCAAUCUACUCUGCUGCAACUCCAUGGGGAUAAGAUUUGUGGUUUUAGUUUGCUCCACUGCAACUUCAGGGAGAUAAAACUUGUAUCUUGAACCUGCUCUACUGCAACUUCAGGGAGAUAAGGUUUGAUAUGAUAAUAUCUAAUUCGACCUACUGUAACUUCGGCGGUAUAUGAUUCAUCAUUUUAAUCCGCUCCACUGCAACUUCAGGGAGAUAGGAUUAAUUGCUUCAACUACAACUUUAAGGGAAUAAGAUCUGAUGCGAUCUGCUCUACUGUAACUUCAGAGAGAUAAGAUCCAUCAUUUUAAUCCGCUCCACUGCAACUUCAGGGAGAUAUGAUUGGUUUCUUCUGUCUACUCCACUGCAACUUCAGGGAGAUAAGACUGGAUGCGAUUUGCUCUACUGCAACUUCAAAGAGAUAAGGUCUGUGGUUUUCUUCCGCUCCACUACAACUUCAGGGAGAUAGGAUUGGCUUCUUCUGUCUGCUCCACUGCAACUUCAGGGAGAUAAGACUGGAUGCGAUCUGCUCUACUGCAACUUCAGAGAGAUAAGAUCUGUGGUUUUAAUCCACUCUACUGCAACUUCAGGUAGAUAGGAUUGAGUUCUUCUGUUUGCUCCACUGCAACUUCAGGGAGAUAAGACUGGAUGCGAUUUACUCUACUGCAACUUCAGAGAGAUAAGGUCUGUGGUUUUAAUCCGCUCCACUGCAACUUCAGGGAGAUAGGAUUGGUUUCUUCUGUCUGCUCCACUGCAACUUUAGGGAGAUAAGACUGGAUGCAAUCUGCUCUACUGCAACUUCAAAGAGAUAAGAUCUGUGGUUUUAAUCCGGUCUACUGCAACUUCAGGGAGAUAAGACUGGAUGCGGUUUACUCUACUGCAACUUCAGAGAGAUAAGAUCUGUGGUUUUAAUCCACUCCACUGCAAUUUGAUGGAGAUAAGAUUGACUUUUGUCUAAUUAACUACAAUGUCGGGGAAGCAUAAUUCGCUGUUGUAGUUUCAAUCUGUCCCAUUACACCGCCAGGGAAGUAAGAUUCGCCGUUGCAGCUUCAAUAUUUUUAAUUGCAACGUCGAGGAACAAGAUUUGCUGUUGUAGCUUCAAUCUGUUCCACUGCACCGCCAGGGAAGUAAGAUUUUCCGUUGUGGCUUCAAUCUUUUAAAUUGCAAUGUCGGGGAAGCAAGAUUCACCGUCGUAGCUCCAAUCUGCUCCACUGUACCGCCAGGGGAGUAAGAUUCACCGUUGCGGCUUUAAUAUUUUAAAUUGUAAUGUCGGGGAAACAAGAUUCGCCGUCGUAGCUUCAAUCUGAUCUACUAUACUGCCAAGGAAGUAAGAUUCAUUGUUACGGCUUCAAUCUUUUAAAUUGCAAUGUCGUGGAAGCAAGAUUCACCGUCGUAGCUUCAAUCUGCUCCACUACACUGCUAGAGAAGUAAGAUUUGCCGUUACGGCUUCAAUCUUUUAAAUUGCAAUGUCGGGGAAGCAAGAUUCAUCAUUGUAGCUUCAAUCUGCUCCACUGCACCGCCAAGGAAGUAAGAUUUACCGUUGCGACUUCAAUCUUUUUGAUUGCAAUGUCGGGGAAUAAGAUUCACUGUUGUAGCUUUAAUCUGUUCCACUAAGUAAGAUUCAUUGUUGCGGCUUCAAUCUUUUAAAUUGCAAUGUCGGGGAAGUAAGACUCACCGUCGUAGCUCCAAUCUGCUCCACUGCACCGCCAGGGGAGUAAGAUUCGCCGUUGCGGCUUUAAUAUUUUAAAUUGUAAUGUCGGGGAAACAAGAUUCGCCGUCGUAGCUUCAAUCUGAUCCACUAUACUGCCAAGGAAGUAAGAUUCAUUGUUACGGCUUCAAUCUUUUAAAUUGCAAUGCCGUGGAGCAAGAUUCACCGUCGUAGCUUCAAUCUGCUCCACUGCACUGCCAGAGAAGUAAGAUUUGCCGUUACGGCUUCAAUCUUUUAAAUUGUAAUGUCGGGGAAGCAAGAUUCACCGUUGUAGCUUCAAUCUGCUCCACUGCACUGCCAAGGAAGUAAGAUUUACCAUUGCGACUUCAAUCUUUUUUAUUGCAAUGUCGGGGAAUAAGAUUCACCGUUGUAGCUUUAAUCUGUUCCACUAAGUAAGAUUCACCGUUGCGGCUUCAAUCUUUUAAAUUGCAAUGUCGGGGAAGCAAGAUUCACCGUCAUAGCUUCAAUCUGCUCCACUGCACCGCCAGGGAAGUAAGAUUUUCCGUUGCGGCUUUAAUAUUUUAAAUUGCAAUACCGGGGAAACAAGAUUCACUAUCGUAGCUUCAAUCUAUUCCACUGCACCGCGAGGGAAGUAAGAUUCGUCGUUGCGGCUUCAAUCUUUUAAAUUACAACCUCAAGGGUAUGAGUAAUUUCAUUGAUCUGUUCUCUAGGGAACAUGACUUGCAAAAUCCAUUUCAUGGACCUAUUUAUGCCUAGUGUUUAGGAUGUCAUGAUUAGAAUGAAUCAAAUACUCCUAACUAGAUGUGUAUGUAUGAUAUUUGUAGAAUGUCAUGAGAAUGAUCCCUUUUUAAUGCUUAGGUUGUCAUUCCUCAUUGUUCAUCAAGGUUCUAUCAUUGAUGCCUUUUUGUUCAGCUGGUAUCUUUAACAGAAAAACCAAAGAAAUAGUCACAAUUUAGACUAUUCUUUCUUCAAUGCUUCUAACCCUUAAGUUGGCUAGUUCUAAACAAUAGCCCUGUUUCAGGUCCUCGUAUUAUUUAGAAACUUCCAAAGUAAUAUGCAAAACUUCUUUUGCUUGAAUAUUAUCAAUUCAGUAAUAGUUAUUUCAAUGAAAAACACUUGAAAAAGAUUAUCAAAAUGGACAAGAUGAAAUUUUGUUGAGAACAAGCUCGAAAUGAAUGAAUCAAUCAAGAUAGCAAAUUUUUCUAGAAUACAACAUAAGAAUAAAUUAAUCAAGAUGGCGUCUUUUGUCAAAAAUACAAAAAUGAAUAAAAUGGAAAUAGGUGCCCCAGAUAUCGUAGCAUGAGCUUCUCUGCUCCAAACUUAUUGAGGACCCUUUUGAACUUGAUAUGUGUUUAGAAGUCCUAGAAGACUUUGUUGAUGGCCCAAGAUGUAGUAUCUCUCUUUCUUAUUAAUUUGGAGAUGACAAGACUACCGCAUAUCCUACUUUCGAUCAAAAUUUGAACUGCCCAUUCCUGGGUUUUCAAUUCAAAACCCUUUUGGUCUCAAGGCACCCUUUGCGGGUUUUCACCUUGGCCUCUCCUUUUUCUUUUUUCGUUCUUUUUUUAAGUGAAGUAUUUAUUGCUUGAAUCAAAAUUCUCAAGAUUAGGCAGGUUAUUACCGUCCAUCUUGGUCAAUAUCGACGCUUUUUCAAAUAAGGUCUUCCACAUAAGGUCCUUUCCAAUUUGGCAUCCAUUUUCUUCUGAAGUCGUUUUGUAUGGGAAUGAUCUUCUUCGAUAUCAGGUCCCCCCUCAUGAAAUUCUCUAGGGCGAACCUUUUUUGGUGAGAACGCAUAAUUCGCUUUUGGUACGUUUUACCAUGACGGAUAACUUUCAACCUUUUCUUAUCAAUCAAAUUUAACUGAUCAUAUUGGGCCUGGAUCUAUUCCGCUUCAUCCAACUUUAGCUCUGACAAGUCUCGAAGGGUAGGAAUAUCAACUUUGAUGGGUAAAACUGUCCCUAUUCCAUAUGCCAAUCAGAAAUUAGUUGCCCCGGUAGAGGUUUUUUUAUGCUUUUGUUUUUUUAUUAUUUUUUAUUUUUUUAUUUUUUUUGCCUCCAUUGAAUCGUUCAUUUUGGGGUGACAUGGUGUUAAUCUUGAACAGACUACAAACUUCUGAUAUCAUGUCAUUGUUCAAAUUUGGUGCAUUGUUAGAUAUAUUUCUUUUUGGCAUCUCAUACCGACAUAUGAUUUCUUUUUUCAAGAAUUUGCUGACCGUCAUCUUUGUGACAUCGACAUAUGAAGCAGCUUCUUCCCAAUUAGUGAGAUAAUCGACGACCAUAAAGAUGAAUUGAUGAUCGCUAAAACCUUAGGCGAGAUUGGCUUAAUGACAUCCGUACCCCACAUAGAGAAAGGUCAUGACUUCCAUCCAUUCUUUGUAAGGUAAGAUCUUGUUCUACCAUAUUAACAAAUCUGGGGAUAAGCUACAGUCUCAGUUAUCUUCAAAGUCCUGAGGCUCAUCUAGACACAUAUCUUGCUCAAAAGGAGAUUUUGAGUCAAUAGCAGUGUCACUCGUGUGUUUGAUAUCUGGAGACCUAUUGUAGGGAUGAAAGCAGAUCCAAAGAAUAAAAGAAUCUAAGAAUAUUUAUCUGUAUAGUAUGAUUAUGAAUAAAAUGGGAACAAUAAAGGAAUAUUUGCUCGAAGUGAGAAACAAAGAUGCAUUUUAUUGAAAUAAAGAUAUUGAACAUAAGCCUAUCUCACAAAAGGAUUCUUAUUGCUCCUAGGCUUAAAGCAAUAAGCAUGUUUUGGACAUUACUUUGAAUUAGGUCUAAAAAAAUACAAGGAUCUCUUCUGUAGUCCCAUUGUUCAAAACACUCCCAAGUGUGUUAAGGGCAGAUGCCUCAUAAAAUAUCUUCCCCAGCUCCCUUUUCGGAUACGGCGUUAACAUUCAAAUUUUCCAAUAUUUCUUCCGGGCCUUUGACUUCUUCAAAGAAUUCCAACUCUUUAUUAUCCAUUAAACUUUGCACCAAGGCUUUGAAUUCAGCGCACUCUUGGAUUUCAUGGCUUUCUUUAGCGUGGAACUCAUAGUAGCUUCUCAUCCUUUUUGGUCUCUUCUCCAAAUUCUGAAUGGUUUCCCACGUCUAUCAUUUGGUUUUGGUUUUCUUCCCUCCAUUCUCAAUUAUCGCAUUUACCCCUGGUUCUGGAUGACUGGGUAACGAAUUUCCUGCCGCAUUAGGUCCAGAUGGAUCGUCAAAUUUCACGAUGCCCAUAUUAAUGAACCUUUCGACUAACUUUUUAAAUGUAGUGCAAUUUUCAAUCGAGUGCCUCAUAGUUCCUGCGUGAUACUCGCAUUGGGCAUUCGCGUCGUACCAUUUGGGGUAUGGAGGUUGCAUGGGUUUUGAGUAGAACAGAGCUACUACAUGCGCAUCAAACAGUUUCUAAUAUAACUCCUUAUACUUCACCGGGAUAGGUGUGAACUAGAGUCUUUCUGUGUUUGGCCUCGAGUUGGAUUCUUGCUUCGAGGGCCUUGAUAGCUAGCUGCUACCGUCCUUAGCUGGACUACAGUGACUGAUUUUGAAUACCCUUUAUUAUACAAGCUCAGGUUACUCAUUUCAUUUUCUUUGAGCUUUAGGGUUGAUCUUUUGACACCUUCCCCCGCAUCUAUCUUCCCACUUCUUAUGGCAUUUUCAAUCAUCUGGCCAGACAUUACCAUAUCUGAGAAGCUCAUAGUAGCGCUUCCCAACAUGUGGUUAAUGAAUGGGGCUUUCAGAGUGUUGAUGAAAAGCAUUGUGGUUUCUUUCUCCAGAAGAGGUGGUUGGACUUGUGUCGCUACCUCCCUCUAUCUUUGGGCAUAUUGCCUAAAGCUCUCACUUUGCUUCUUUUCCAUGUUCUGCAAUGUGAUUCUAUCAGGUGUCAUGUCUGUUACAUGGUUGUACUACUUUAUGAAAGCCUGCGCCGAGUCCUUCCAUGAGUGAAUAUUGGCACAGCUUAACUGGUUGUACCAUUUGGCAGCCGAACCGAUCAGACUAUCUUGAAAGCAGUGAAUUAGCAGGUGAUCGUUACGUACCCUGUCAUUCUUUGGCAGAACAUUGUGAUGUGAGCUCCAGGACAACUAGUCCCAUUAUAUUUUUCAAAUUCUAAAGUCUUGAAUUUUGGCAAGAGUACUAGAUCUGGGACCAAACUUAGAUACUUAGCAUCGAUCCUACCACGGUAAUCAACAUUCUCCAUUGCUUUAAACUUUUCCUCUAGCCACCUACACCGAUCCUCAAGCUACUUCAGUAGAUCCACUCUUACUUCCGCCGCGUCGUCAAGAUCAGGAACAACGGGGUUGGUUGGAUUAUCUCUCGGAUUAGAACCCGAGCCUAUUUGAAAGUUCAUUCGUGUCGAGGCACCAACUUGAUAUUGAGGUCUGAUAGUGACAGGUAUUCUUUGCGGGCACAUUUCUAAUUGCACCAGGAUACUCGUCGGGGUGAAAAUUGGAGGAUAAACAGGGCCCUCAUGAUCAACCCCAGAAUCAACUAUAGGGCUUUUUCCUUUAUCAUUCCCUCUAGCCAAUAACUGCUCUAAUUGGUUCAUCAUAGUUCUUUGGGAUUCUAGCAUGUCUUGUUGGAUUUUAUAAAGUCGUUCAUGCAUCUGAUCUUGCAUCUCUUUUUGCAAUUGGUCCAAUCUUUCUAACCUCUGAUUCAUUUCUUUUGUUUUGCGGCGCGUACCGUAAUGAUAUUUGGUUGGUGGAUUCUUGUUGGUUUCCAGAUUAACUGAAAUAAUCUCGUUUAAUUAGGGUUUUUUCAUGAAAUUUAAUGCAAAUGAUGCAAUGAAAUGUAAUGCAGAUGAAUGGAAUGAAUGCAAAAAGAGACAUUGAUUCUUGGUUCAAUUAUAUUAGAAUAAUUUUACUAGGAAACAAAUCUCUUUACAUAAAGUGGAUAUAUAUACAGCUCUACUCUCAUAUGCAGAGACAUUCGAUCCUUUUCUUCAUUCGAGCGUUAAGAUAAAUUUCACGAACUCUUCAAAAGGGACGUCUCUUUUAUUUUCUUUUUGCUUGAUCCGGGCCGCGACUCAUUGCUCACUUAUCCUCGUGAUGCUUGUUGGCUUUUCUUUAAGAAAGUUAAGUGGCUCUUAAAUAAUCCUUGUCAUCUUGAAUCCUCGGGAAACAAAGCAAAGCCGUGUAGUCCUCCAUUAAACUAUUAUCCUUCUCUUAUCACAUUUUCUUAGACCAUAUUCAGACAACCGUAUUGUCAUCCACUUUAUCAAGAAGCCCAUUUUCUUAUGACAAGCUCUCUAUUUAGCAACUGAACGUGAAUCAAGACCUCUUUUUUAUGAUAAAAAUGUAAAGCAAUCAUAACCAAAACAAAAGAAAACAGGUUAGUACAAAGCAAAAGCAAGAAAGAAUAAAAAGAACACCUAUUCAGGUGACCACUAGGGGUUUGAAGUAGUUCUACCUAAGGUAGGCUCUUAGGUUCACUACAUGCAGUUCGGCUCUAAAGCAAAGGUACCCGAACCAGCAGAUUACUCGAUCCUCAUCCAUUAUAGGCUCAUAUGGAUCGAAUUCAGUUCAGGGGAAGACACUUCCCUAUGGUUGUACGGAGAUGAAAAUCUCACGAAGACAUAGGUACGAAUGUAUCUCGAAAGCGAUCCACUACCCUGCACGGAGGUGAAAACCUCACAAAGGACUAGUUUCUCACUCCCACUUAUAAGGGUGUGACCCACGGUCAUGCAAUGCAACAGGCUUGAACCAAAAAAGUAAACAUAUUAAGACCACAAAAACGACAGACGAAAUGUAAUGAAAGGAUCGUACAUUUAAACCAAAUUUUCAAUUUUGGACAAAAAGACAAAAAUUAAUCAACUCGUGGCUUAACUCUCUUAUUUUCAUCCCUAGCGGAGUCGCCAAGCUGUUGACACCAUUUUUUUCUGAAAAUGGGGUCGACUUGGAUUUUAAAAAUGAAAACGAAAACGGGAGUCGCCACCAGUCCUUUUUGAUGAGGUGUGAUCGGGUCACCUUGAAAAGUGGUUGUUUUUAAUAAACGAUUUGAUUUUAUUAAAACAAUGAUUUUGGUCUACGAAAUUCAAGAAAGCAGGUUCAGAAUUCGGUUACGCACGAGGAAGGAUUAGCACCCUCGUAACGCCCAAAAUUAGUACCUAGUUGAUUAAUUAAUGUCUUAACGUCGAAGAUUGAGAACUCUGAAGAGUUUUUUAAAAAUACGAUCCUAGUAAAAAACUCAAAUAACAUAGAUUGAAAUUUAAGAUUCUCUUGUUCUAAAGAAAUAUCACAUCCAGCACGUUAGGACACGAUACUUUAAACCAUCGAACCCAAGAUCACCUUAUGGUUUCAAAAACCUAUACUUUGAAGUUUUAAGAGGAUGCUUGGCUAUUUGGUCAAACGAGAAAUCGAAACCCAACAUGUUAGCGCACGCUUUCUCAGAUUUCCAAAUGCAAAAUAUUGUCUUUAUCUUUUUUUUAGAGAAAUCCUCAUAUCGAGAAAACAACAUGUCAUAUCCAAUACGUUAGGACACAACGUAUCAAACUCCCGAUAUGAAAAUUACUUAUUUGAAAGACAUUUGAUUAUCUUGAUUUUAGAAAAGACCAUAUUCUGUAAGUUAGAACACGAUCUUUUAUUAAUUCACGAGAUCGUUUUAAAAACUUAUGUUUAAAAAGAUUCGUGUAUUUAGAUUUAUAGCGAAAAUCGAAACCCCGUAAGUUAGGGUACGACUUUCUCGAAUCUAAACACGAAAUUUUGCUUAUUCAAAUGUCAUAAUUUAAAAGGAUAUUUUUCUAUUUGAGUUAAACGAGAAAAUUGAAACCCCGUAAGUUAGGGUACAAUUUCUCGAAUUUCUAAAACGCGAACUAUUGCCUUAUUUUAAAACUUUUCCACUUUUUGAAUAAUAGCAAACACAAUACUUAAACAAUGUGCAUUUGUUUUAUUUGUAAUAAAAAAGGAAGGUUUAUUAUGGAUAUAUACAAAUCGAACGCAAGUUUUGAAGUGAUAAAAUAAAGUGAAAUGAUAAUAUAGAACAUGAAAUGACAAUUCACGAAUAAAAUAUCACGUUAAUAAAUGGAAAUAAUGUGAAAACAAAUAAACAAAUUACACAUACAUAAUGAUAACAAUUAUACCACAUGCAUCACUUUAACAUACCACUAUUAAUGAUUCGAGUAAACGAAACGAAAUAAUAAAGAACAAUUUUACGUAGCUAAUAGUAUAAAACAAGUAAUUUAUGAGAUCAAUUCGAAAUAUCUCAAGCAAACAAAAUAUGAAACUUUAAAUGAGAAAUACUAAAGUAGUUUAAAAUAAAUAAAUAAAAUAAACCACAAAACAGUGUUCUUUUUCCUUAUUAAAAAUAAUAUAUAUAAAAAAAAUUAAAGGACAAUGUACAUAAGGUAGUUUAAAACAAAUAAUGUAAUAAAAAAUCUAAGUAAACAUUAGGUGAAACAUUUAAAAUAAAUAAUAUAUGUAAAACUUAAAAUAAAUAAUAAUAAAAGAAGAGCUCUUAAAAAAACAAAUAAAUUAAUUAAUUUUUUAAAAAAAUAAAGAAUAAUAAAUUAAUUAAAUGGAAUAAGGACGGAAUUGAAAUUGGACCCAAAAUUUGGGGUUUAAAUCGCAAAUAAAUAAAAGUGGAGGGACUAUAACCAAAGGCGCUAAAGGAGCAAGGGACUUCCGGGGAAAUAUUCCUAGUCUUAAUUCGGGUCGAGUCUCGGAUCGGUACUUGGGUUUUAUGCCAAAUGGCACCGUUUUAGCCAUGGAUGCUAAGGUCUAAAACGAAGCCGUUUUAAAUCUUAUAUAAAUAUAAAAAAACAAAAAAAAACAUUUCUCCCCUUUCAUUUUUUAGAAAAAAAUCAGAGACCCCUUUGGUCUCUCUCCCUCUCAGCCUUCCCAUGUCCUCCGACGAUCGGGCUUCUCACUGCCGUUCAUCCGUCUGCCGCACUGCCACUAAACCGACGGCCGACGAAGCACGAUGAAGGGCUUUUAAAGCCCAGUUUCCUGGUGAUUUGAAAUGUUGGAUCUUUGAACCCCCAUGAGCACCGUGACAGAGGCUUAUAAUCCCCAUUUUCGGAUCUGGGCCAACAACGGAGAAACACCCACCGACGGCACGGUCGCGAGGUAUCUUCGGUAAGACCUUUUUUAUAUUAUUUUUCGUUUUUAAAAAACAAUAAUGAAAAUAAAGAUAAAAUAAAUAGACAUAUUGAAAUAGAAAACAAGAAAUCGCUUUGAAUAUUUUUUGUUUCUAUUUUCUCCAAUAUUCAUAAAAAGGAAGAACAAGUUAUAGUAAUGAUCUUUGGCUUUUGUAGCCGAUUACAACUGUUAAUCUCUAUUUUAUUUUGUCAUCUUGCUAUUUGGCUAUUUGGUGUUGCGUGUUUUUGCUAUUUUGCAGGUGUCAGAGGCUGACAGUGGUGGCAGACGCGUGAAGGAGGUGGCGUGCAGUCGCAGCGAGGCUUGGGGAGUAGCGGCGCGAAGAGGCUUGGCUGGGGCUAGGGUUUCUGUUGCUAGUUUAGGUUACGGGCUAGUUAUUUGGGCUUAGGGUUUUUUUACUAUUGGGUUGUUCUGAUUGGGUCUGUUUUUGGGUUUGUAAUUGGAAUAGAUUUGGUUUAUUUUUUGUGUUUGGGUUUAAUUUGGGCCUCAGGCAAAAUUUGGGCUUUUACAAGCACUUAUUAAGUUUAUAAUUAAUAGGUGAAAAGCUUAAACUUAAUUGUAAAUUAUUUGAGCCCUAAUUAUAUAAGUUCAAUCGGUUCUUCUGCUAGCUCGUUGAAACCAUAAAUGAAUUGCGUGUAAAACCAAAUGAACAUAAAUGAGUGGAAAUGAUAAAGUUAAAGACAUGAGUUGCAUUCACAAAUGAAUGUGUUUUCUCACUAAGUACAAAAAUGACUUGAGAAUUAAUUUAAGGUUUUUGAAUUAUUAUUUAAAUUAAUUAUAAUUAAAUAAUUGAAGUUCGAAAAUAAAACUAAAUUAAUUAGUUAUUAUGAAUAUAUUAAAUAAGGAGAUUAAAUAUAUUUCUUUAUAAAUUCUUUUAAGGUAAAGUUGUCAUGACAUUAACGGAAUUAGAAUUAGAUUAAGAAAAUUAUUUAACUGGGAAAUUAAUUUAGUUAAUUAAUUAAUAUUUAUUUUAGAAAAUAUAAAAUAAAUAUUAGAUUGAAUUAUAUUAUAAAAUGUUGGGUCAAAAGUCUAGAGAGCACAUAUAAAUGGACAAUAUACAUGAGAGGCCCAAAACCAUCAUAAUAUAUGUGAGGGGAGCCAACCCUAUUAUUAUUAACUAGGGUGUGUUGCCCACCCCUACUCUACUUAGCAUAAGAAUGUGUUUUGUAUUUAAAUAAUAUUAUUUUACAAGGACUUAUUCAACCAGAAUUUUUCUAUCUCUCCCUAUAAAUAGAUGACAUUGGUUGAACUAAAAAAAAACUUCUUGAUUAUUGAGUUAUCGUUAUUCUUCUAGAAAAUAGUGGUAAUUUAUUUACUUAAGAAUAAGUUAUAUUUUCUAGGAAUUACUAUCUUUACCAGUUUCUAUUUAAAGAAUUACUUUCAUACUAAAAGUAAUAAUAUCAUUUCUUGUUUUGUGUUUCGUUUGUGUUACUCGAGCCCACACGGGAUGCAAUUUGUGGUAUGAGGAUAGUAGAGAAGGUCAUUCGGUCGAAAGCCAGAUCGACUCGAAUCUGUCUCACACAAAGCACUAGUAUUUUUUAGUAAAAGUUUAUUGUUAUAAAUAUAUCUAGGUGGCUUGGUUUUGAAAAUUUAUAAUUUUUCGUUGUAACUGUAAAAUCGUUUUCUUAAUCAAAAUUUUCAAACAAUUGGUAUCAGAGUCGAGUUGUGCUAUGUUUAUAGUAGAAGCUAGUAUUAGAUUUUCUCUUCUUUAUGUUCGGUUAAUUUUCAUAAGAUGUGACAUUCUUUUAAUUAUUUGCAUUUGUUGGAUUAUGUAUGUGAAUGAAUGUAUUUAAUUAUUUUAUUAUAAUAUGAUAAUGUAAUUUUGCCAAAGUUUUGAUUCUUAUAAAUUAAAUUGGGUGUAAUUUUAGUAUUUAAUAAUUUUUGGGAUAUGUAAUUUGUAACACCCCUAAUCCAUUUUCAUUGUCAGAUUUGGGUUACAGGAUAUUACGACAAUUAACAAAUCUGAUAAUAUCUCAAAACAUUUCAAUAAUCAAUUUAAAUAUCAAUAAUCAAUAUCCAAUCAUUAUUCAUCGCAUAUAUGCGAAAACAAAUUUUAAAUCGGGCCACAUAACCUAACAAUCAAGUCGAAAACAAAUAGGGACUAAUCUAAAACAAAAUUGAAAAAUGUGAAAAAAUGUAAAUUGGGGUCACACAGCCAUAUGGCCAGUACGUGUGAGAAGGUUGAGGCGGUGUGGUGCUACGCCACACUCUUGUGUCCUCAAAACGUGUACAACUCGAUGUGAUGAAAUAUAGGGUCAUACAACCAUGUCGUCAGGUUAUGUAACAAACUGGGACUAUGUGAAACAUCCUACAUCUAAAAUCAAACAGACCACACGGCCGUGUUGGGUGACCGCGUAUGACACACGGCUAUGUAGUUGACCAUGUCAUAAGUAGUGUGUACCUAAAAGUGCCUUUAAAAUCAAACAAUUUCAAUCCAAAAUGCUUAGGCCACAAGUCAUACAAUUUCCAUCUCUUAAACCUACAUAAAAUACAUCAAAACAAGCAAAAAUAUACCAUAUAAUAUUCAACCUAAGUGCCUGUCCAAUGUGUGCUCAUUGGCACCACAUUUCAAAGAUUUAAAAUCCAAUUUACAUAUAUCAUUUACCAAAUCACAAAACAUGUAACCAAACAUUUCAAGAGCAUGAAUCAUACCACUUAUGUAUACUUGACUAUACUAAGCCAAAAGUACCUAUUAGGUAGUAACUUAACCAUUUUUAUAAAGUUAAACAUACACAACAUGGUUAUAUACAUUUGAACUUAUAAAUUCUUAAUACAUGCUAUUUAUAACCUAAACCUAAAAUGAAAAUUUCAUAAUAAAUGAUCAAGAUAGGCAUCAAGUGAUAAGCUACCAAAUUCAAGUCACCAAAACACCAAAAACGUGAUUUCAUCUCUAAAGGCACAAAACAUCCCAAGAUACCUAUUAACAUAAACAUAUCAAAAUAACAAUUCAAAAUGCAUUUAGAUACCAAAUCAUGCAUUAACCAUCACACAUUACAACCAACCAAAAUACCAAUUAGGAUUCUCAUCAAUACACAUAUUAUAUACUUCAAAUGGCACAAAAUAUAACCAUAGUGCUUAUAACAUACAUAACCAAAACCCUAGUUACAUGUCACUUAUAACCGGACCAAAAUGAACAAUUAGAUACUGAAUAAGUUAUCGGAUAGUGUGAUCUCAAAAAAUAAUCCAAUCGAUAGCUCGAAUCCUAUGAUCUACAAGUAAGACAAACCAACACGAGGUAAGCUUACGUAAAGCUUAGUAAGUAUGUAUUAAAUAUAAACUUUAACUUACCAUAAUGGUUGUAACUUAAACAUUCCUCAACUAAAUACCAUAACUAGAAUAAGAGUUCAUUAUUAACAUAUAGAUAUCACAAGUCUCACAAGGUUAGUGAGUUCAUAUAAACAUAACAUGAAAUUUUCUUAUCAUGUCAUAGAACAUUACAAGUGAACACAUUUAAAACUUAAUUCAACCAUCACCUAUUCAUUUAACAACUCAUAUUUCAUUUCAACUAUCCAUAUCCAAUACCUCAAUUCAUACAUUUAUUUCCUUAUAAUCAAUUCACAUAAUGAUUUUAUAUAACCAAUUUGUAUAACUAUUUCAUCUAAACAUUUUAUUUUAUCAUUUCGUUUACACAUUUAACACAUAAUUAUUUUAUAUAUCACAUUUCAUUUCAAUAAUUCAUAUAAAUUUCUCCAUUCAAUGUCUAAUUUCAUAUAACCAUUUCGUAUAUUUUGCUUCAUUUUAUACAUUUAACACCUAAUGAACCAAAUGAAAUAGCGUCGGAUAUGCGAGAAAGAUGCUCACACAAGUUGUAAUUGUAAUUGCUCUUACAAGUCAUAUCUGUAAAUGCUCACAAAAGCUGUGAAAUGGAUCAACUCACCCGAGUUGUGGGUCGGGAUGUUAGGCUACACGAUGCUUUUAAUAUGAGCUGUGAAGAAUCUGCAACAAAUAUAGGACCUCAGCCAUCGAUAGAACAUCCAAGACCAACACUCGAAAUAGUAAAUAACUCCAAUGACAUGUCAUUUGUAUCUUAAGUAUUCAAAAGGUUCAUUUAGGCCACAUUAUAAAUCCAACUAAUAUAAUAUUAUUCAUAUUAUACUAUUACAAGUACACAUCCAUAUAGUUCAUAUUUUUCAAAUAUAAUUAUUAAUUUAGCUAACACUACAAUUUAGUUCAAUUCUCUAAUUAUUAUAUAUCAAUAAAUUUUACUCAUUUCUAUAAUGAAGAAUAAUUAAAUUAUGACUAAAUAAGGCCUAUGAGGCCUCUAAAAAGUUACAGCUAGUCCAUACUGAUGUGCGUGGUCUUGUGAAGAUUCAAUCUUUGAAUGGUAGUAGGUACUUCAUCCUCUUCAUCUAUGAAUACUCAAGGUUCUACUGGGUUUAUUUUCUAAAGCUUAAGUUAGAAGUAGCCUCAGUGUUUUGGAAGUUCAAGGCAGCAACUGAGACUCAAUCAGGUUGCAAGCUCAGGACAUUAAAGUCAAAUAGUGGGACAGAAUACACCUCUGAUGUGCUUCAAAGGUUCUGUUAAGAAUUAGGGAUUGAACACCAGCUUACCAACACCUACACACCUCAAUAAAUGGUGUCAGUGAGAAAAAGAAUCGAACCCUGAUGGAUAUGGCCAAAUGCCUAAUGUUUGAAAGGAGUUUGCCAAGAAGUUUUCGGGCUGAAGUAGUAAAUACUACAUUUUAUCUGCAAAACAAGCUACCAACCAAAGCCUUGUUGGAGAAGACUCCAUUUAAAGCUUGGUUUGGAUUCAAACCAUCAGUAGCUCAUCUAAAAGUCUUUGGUUGCAUCUGUUAUGCACAUGUUCCUACUAUUAAAAGGGACACAUUGGCAAAGAAGGCUUAACCCGGUAUCCUUGUAGGCUAUAGUAGUAUUAAAAUAGGCUAUAAAGUUCUAGAUCCUACAACUUACAAGGUGUUUGUAAGCAAAGAUGUGGUAUUUGAUGAGAUGUCCACUUGGAAUUGGGACAAAUGUGAGCCAGAAUGUGUUACUGAAGGCUUAGUAACAUGGCAAAAUGAUGUUGAUCAGUGUGAUCAAGAGUUGAACAUUGAUAAUGUUCCAGUUAGAGGAACUAGAUUGAUUAGUAAAGUAUAUGAGAGGGUUGAUAUAGCUGUAGGUGAACCAGCUAGUUAUGAAGAAGCUGAGACACAAGAAGGUUGGAGGCAAGCCAUGUUAGAUGAAAUAAGGAUGAUUCAUAAGAAUUAGACUUGGGAAUUAGUUGCGAAACCAGUUCACAAGAAGGUCAUAGGGGUGAAAUGGGUGUUUCGAGCCAAACACAAUGUUGAUGGAACUUUAAACAAGUUGAAGGAAAGGUUAGUUGUGAAGGGAUUUAGCCAGAAGUAUGGGAUUGAUUAUUUUCAAACAUUUGUACCAGUGACAAGACUUGACACCAUCAGAAUUUUGGUGGCAUUAACAGCUCAUAGGAAGUGGAAAAUAUAUCAGCUCUUUGUAAAAUUUUCCUUCCUCAAUGGAUUUCUUAAUGAUGAAAUAUAUGUUGAACAGCCAGAUGGUUUUAAGGUGCCUGGUGAAGAGACAAAUGUGUACAAGCUAAGAAAGGCCUUAUAUGGCCUAAAAUAGGAACCAAGGGCCUGGUAUGACAAAAUCGAUAGCUACCUAUCAAGCUUGGGGUUUGAGAGAAACAUUAGUGAGCCGACACUGUAUGUAAAGAAGGAAGGUGAUGAAACACCACUCAUAGCAUCUUUAUAUGUGGAUGACUUGUUAGUGAUUGGUGGAAAUGAUGCUAUGUUGUUAGAUUUCAAAGACAAAAUAAAGAGUAUGUUUGAGAUGUCUAAUUUGGGUGAAAUGUGUUAUUUCCUUGGCAUGGAAGUAUCUUAGACACAAUAAUGGAUCUUCAAAAGUCAAAAGACAUUUGCCUUGAAAAGCUCAUCGGCCAAGGUGAUUUUGAGAGAGUAAAUAAAUCAACCUAUAGGAGUCUAGAGGGAUGUUUUCUUUACUUAAUAGCCACAAGGUCUGACAUAAUGUUUGCAAUCAGCCAGGUUUAUGCAAUGCUACAAUGUGAAUCAUUUCCAAUUUUCUAAAAGAGUUCUAAGGUACAUUAAAGGAACUCUAAGUUUUGGAGUUAUGUUUACCCAGAUUGAUAGCAUGAAGCUCCUUGGAUUAGCAUAUAGUAAUUGGGCAGGAUCCAUUGAUGACAUGAAAAGUACUUUAAGGUAUUUGUUUACCCUUGGGUCAACUAUUUUUUGUUGGAGUUCAAAGAAACAGUCUAUUGUAACUCAAUCAAUAGCUGAAGCUGAAUAUGUUGCAACUUCUACAGUUGUUAAUAAAGCAAUCUGGUUGAGAAAACUCAUAGAAGAUAUGAACUUACAUAAAAGAAUAGCAAAAAAGGUCAAAUGUGACAAUCAAUCUACUGUUGCAAUUGCAUAAAAUCUAGUGUUUCAUAGAAAAACAAAACAUUUCAAGAUUAAGUUUCAUUUUGUUAGAAAAGUGGAACAAUCUCAAGAAAUUAAAAUGGUUCAUUGCAGUUCUGAAGAUUAGUUGGCUGACAUCUUGAAAAAAACUUCUUGUUGUAUCAAUGUACAAGAAUCUAGUAGCAAGAUUGGGAGUUUGCAGCAUGGAAGCCAAGGAGGAGUGUUAAGAAAUGGCUUUCAUGUAACCUAUUUUGGACGAGCCAUGCAGGUUGCAGUUGAAGAACAUGCUAUUGUUUUGUUACUUAAUUGAUGUUUUGCUACUUAGUUACAUUUGAACUAAGUAUAUAAUGUAAUUGGUGUAAUUUGGUAUUGAUGGAUUUGAUAAAUCAGUUUAACCAUUGUGCAAGUAAUGUUUUAUGAGUUUCAAGACAUCUUAGUGAAGUUAGGAGUAACAACCUGUUUCCAAUAGUGUCAGAAAUAGUGGUUUCAAGACCACAAUUUUGAUAAGUGAUUUAUUAUUUUAAUAUUUAUUUAAUUUCUAUAGGAUUAUAUUAAGGUCGUAUUAAAAUUUUGCUAAGAAAUUUUAAAGUUUAAAUAGUUAAUUAAGUAAAAAUGACUAAUCGCAAAAGAUGUAAAAAUUGAAUUCUAUUAGUUAAAAGGGCUAAAUGGCUAUGGAAAGGAAUGAAAAUGGACUUGAAUGGUAAAUAUACCAAUUAAAGAGUUAGUGGAUGUUUAUGGAUAGGUUUUAAUGAAAUUUUAAUAGUUUUAAAAGGUUAAUUUGGUAAUUAAGUUAAAAUUUUAAGUAAUUAAAAUAUAAAAAGCUAUCAGCUUUCUCAUUUCUUCAAGCCAUAGUCAUUUCCACCAUUAGAGAAGAAAGUGAGGUUCGAGCAAGAUCCUUUUGGUGCAUGUAAGUGAAUUCAAGCCCCGUUUUUAAAGAUUUUUAUGUUUUUGAGUCCGUUUUAGCGUAAUCCAGUUAGCCUAAGGGCUAAUUUGCAAAACUGUUGAAGGUUGAGGCACUUGCCAUGGUUUUUUUAAUAUGUUUUGAAGUUAUUUGAUAGAUUAUUAAUCUUUUUUUUAUAAAAUAAAAAUGUUUUGUUAAGUGAUUUUGAUGAAAUUGCAAAUAGGGAUUAAAUUGUUAAAAGUGUAAAUCUAUGGUUUUUGUAACAGCCCGUUUUUUAGUGGUGUCAGAAACAGCGGUUUCGAGGCCACCAAAUCUGAUAGGUAAAUUUGUAAAUAUUAUUAUCUAAUAUUUAUAAGUCAAUUUUGGUUAUAAAAGGUUUUUAAUUUGAUAAUUUAUGUUAUUUAAGCGAUUUAUUAAGUUUGAGUGGUAAGACCCUAAGGUCAAGUGGUUUUAGAAAAUGAGGUAUCGGGACCUCGUUUCUAUAAGUCGAGUUGUAAAUAUUUUUAUAAAUAUUUACGGAGUGUCAUUAGGGUGGUAUUAAAGUUUUUUUGAAAAAUUUUAACGUUUCAAUAGUUAAUUAAUUAAAAAGGACUAAAUCGUAAAAGAUGUAAAAUUUGAUCACUAUUUGAUUUGAGUGGUUAAAUGGUUAAUUGAAUAAAGGAAAAUAGACUUAAAUGGUAAUUAGACCAUUCAAGGAAUUAGUUGACAAUUAUGAGCAUGAAAUUGGUGUUUUAUUUAUUUAUUAACCAAGGUUAAAAUGGUAAUUUGAUAAUUAAAUUAAAAUAAAUAAAACCAAAAUGUUUUAUUCAUCUUUUACAAUCUUUCUCCACCGAUUGUUAAGGGAGGAAGAAACCAUUUUUGAGCAUGGAGGUUUCGGCAAUUUCAAAUCUAAAUUGGCAUGUGAGUCCCGUUUCUAAUAAUUUUUAUGUUUUUGACAUUGUUGCAACUAGGUUCAGCUAGCUCGUACCUUCGAUUUUAAAACUAUUAAUGAUUUUGAACAUUUCCAUUGAUGAACCUCGUGAUUUUAGAUGUUAAAUGAUGAAUUUGAAAUAUUUUUUUAUUUAAAAGUAUUUUAUUAAGUGAUUUUUGAUGAAUUUACCAAUUAAGGACUAAAUUGUUAAAAUAGUAAAAAUACAAGGAUUUGAUGUGGAAUUUCUGAAAUAAUGGGCUGUAUUAGAUUCCAUAAGUAUUCUUAUAGGCACAAUUUGGGGUAAAAAUGGUUAAUUUGCAUGUUUUGAGCUUAUGGACUAAAUUGAAUAAAAGUAAAACUUUAGGGGCAAUUUUGUCAAAAUGUCAAAAAUGACUAAAUUGCAUCAAAUACAUUUUUUUACUGUCUAAAUUAAUAAAUUUAGUGAAAUUGUUAAUUUAGAUCAAGAUCGGGUGGAAAAUCGAGGAGAAUGAAAAAUUACCAAAAUGCCCAUGUACUUUGUCAUUUAUGCAAUUUAGUCAGGUAAGUUUGUAUGAAUUGAAUUUUGUAUAAUGUUGAUUAACUGAAUGUUAGCAUGUGAUUCAAUUGUGAUUGAAUCAAUAUAUAUAUGUUAUUAUGCAAUUCAUCUUGUCACGAAAUGAUGGAAAUUUUACGAAGUACGACGACUAUUGAGCCCUAUUGGAACCUUAGGAAUAUAUAGGAUACAAAUGGCAUAUCAUUAGGGUUACCAUGUUUUGGGUAUUGGUCUUGGACAUCCUACUAGUGGAUGAGUUUCGGGCAGUGUUAUGGAUACUUAAUAGCUUGUGUGAACAGCACCGUAUAGCUACGUUCCAACUAACAGCUUGUGUGAGUAGACUCAUUUAUAGCUCGAGAGAGGGCAUCUAUGUAAGGGAAAAUGAAAGAAAUAGUUUCAACUAUAUGUUAGCAUACAGUGUGUGAGAUUCCCAUGUAUCCAAUAUUAUUCUAAGUGGUUCAACGGCCAUAUAAAGGGAAGGAACGAUAAGUGUUCUGAUUGGCAAUGUCUUGAAAGUAUGGAGAGGUAUGAGUUGUUGAUGAUUAAAGUGUGUAUAGCCAUGUUCAUGAAAAGUAUGAAUGCUUAUAAGUUAUAUUCAUGAAAGUUAUUUUAUUAUGUGGCAAUUUUUGCUAAGUUACGUGUUUAAUCACUAACUUAUGAAUAUGGUUAAUGCUAUGUUUAUGUCUUAUGUGUAAUGCAAAUGAAAUGGUAAGUGUCCGUUUGUUCGAAUGUUACACGGCUUGGGCUAUGUCACAUCUGUGUGACCUUUGUUUUCCAAAUUCUCUAACUUUUUCUUAAAACUUUUGUUUUGUUUCAAUUUAGUGCUGAAUUGCUUCUAAACUAUUUUUUAGGGCCUCGAAGGCUCGAUUUAGGGAAAAUAUGCAUAUGAUUGAUAUGAUUUUGAUUGAGAUUAAUCUAUUUGAUGAUAUGAUGUUAAAUGAUUUCCAAUUGAUCGAUAAUGCUCUGUAACCCUAAUCCGACGACGAAGACGGGUUAGAGAUGUUACAUUUAGUGGUAUCAAAGUUACAAUUUAGUUGGUUCUCGGGCUAAACGUAGCUUGUAUGGAGUCUAGAAAUACAUGUCAUCAUAUAACCUAUGGUUGUGUGAUAUCGCUUGACUCAAAUUGAACUAUGUUUUCGUAUAGAUAAAAGAUGUCAUCCAUCCGAGCUGAUUUCGAUGAGGUUGAUAGUAACGUGUAAGCUUCUGUUCACAGAGCAGAUAAUAGUGGGCCCGUAGUUGAGGGCCGGGGAAGUGAGGCGAAAGAAGCCUUCUUCUAAAUGAUGUCAGAGUGGUUCUCUAAGUUCGUUAGAAUAAACCCGAUGGCUCAACGACCUCCACCCGCUCCUACACCUCAACCUGUCCCCAUCAUUCCUCAAGGCUUAGGACAAGUACAUGCAAAAAGCCUUCGGUUGAUAAAAUUCGUAUAUAUAUGACUGAAGAGUUUCACGAUACAACUAAAGACGAUCCUGAAAAGACGAGUUUUGGUUAGAAAGCACUAGAAUUGAGCUGAGACAGAGCAUGCCUAACAUAUUUGUAGAUGUGCUCAUUGAUGAUAUUUUGAUUUAUUCUCGAGACGAGACAGAGCAUGCCCAACAUUUGAGAAUAAUUUUUCAAAAUUUGCAUGAAAAAUAGUUGUUUGCUAAAUUUAGCAAAUGUGAGUUCUGGCUCUAAGAAGUUGGAUUUUUGAGAUACGUUGUAUCGACAGAUAGUAUUAGGGUUGAUCUGAGUAAAAUAUCAACUAUAAUAGACUGGAAGCUUUAGAGAAAUGUUUAAAAAAUCAAAAGUUUUCUGGGUUUAAUCGGAUAUUAUCAGAGAUUUGUUAAAGGAUUUUCGAUGAUUGCUACGCCGUUGACGAAACUACUUCAGAAAGAUGCCAAGUUCGAAUGGUUUGAAACAUGUCAGCAAAGCUUUGGGCAGUUGAAAGUGUUGUUGACUGAAGCCCCAUGUGUUGGUUCAACCAGAGUCAGGUAAAAAAUUUGUGAUCUAUAGUGAUGCUUCACUGAAUAGUUUAGGUUGCAUUUUGAUGCAAGAAGGCAAUGUGGUAGCUUAUGCUUCUUGAUAGUUGAAACCGCAUAAGAAAAAUUAGCCAACUCAUGAUUUAGAGCUUGCAGCUAUUGUAUUUACUUUAAAGCUCUGGUGACACCAUUUGUAUGGAAAAAAUGUCAUAUCUCCAAGGAUCAUAAAAGCCUGAAGUAUUUGAUGUCACAGGAAGAACUGAAUUUAAGAGAAUGAAGAUGAUUGGAAUUGCUAAAAGAUUAUGAUUUGAUUAUUGACUAUUAUCCAGGAAAAGCCUGAAGUAGAACAUCCUUGUUUACUUUGUGAGCUUUGAACAGUCAAUUGACAUUGAUUGAUGAUGGUUCUAUCUAGCUGAACUAAAAGCUAGAUCAACAUUUUUGCAAUAGAUUUGUGAAUCUAAAAAAAUUGACUCUAAGUUAAUUGCUAAACAGAAGCAGUUUGAGCCGACAUCUAAUUUAAAAUUUCAUGUUAGUUCUGAUGGUAGUUUGUUUUUCUGAAAUAGAAUAUGUGUUCUGAGGAAUUCUGAUGUCAUUCAGAAAAUUCUACAAGAAGCUCAAAACAGUAAUUUAUCGAUACACCCUGGUAGUAACAAAAUGUACAGUGAUUUGAAAGAUAUCUACUGGUGGCUAGGUAUGAAACGGGAGAUCUUAGAGUUUGUAUCAAAAUGUUUUGUUUUUCAGCAAGUCAAAGCUGAGCAUCACGUACCUUUUAGACUAUUGCAUCCUGUGAUGAUUCCAGAGUGGAAAUGGGAACGAGUUACAAUGGAUUUUAUAUCGGAUUUCCUUUAUCUUCGUGAAAGAAAGAUGUUGUUUGGGUUAUCGUGGACCAUCUAACUAAAUCUAGACAUUCUCUUCCAGUACGUAUGAAUUACUUACAUGAGAAAUUGGCAGAAUUGUACGUUUUUUAGAUUAUUAGAUUACACGAUGUACCAGUGUCUAUUAUCUCUGAUAGAGAUUUGCGGUUUACUUCUUGAUUUUAGAGUAAGUUACACGAAGCUCUAAACAGUCGAUUUCAUUUUAGUACAAUGUUUUAACAGACAAUGGUCAAUUUAAGCGAGUGAUUAGGUACUCAAAGACAUGCUCUAAUGUUGUAUUUUAGAGUUCGAAGGUAGCUAGGAGAAAUUUCUUUCGUUGGUUGAAUUUGCUUAUAAUAAUAGUUAUCAAGAAAGCAUUAAAAUAGGGUCGUACGAAACUUUGUAUGGUCAGGAAUGUCGAACUCCAUUAUACUGGACUAAGUUGAGUGAGAAAAAACUAUUUGGUGUUGAUUUGAUUCAAGAAACUGAAGAAAAGAUCAAAGUAAUACGUGAUAGUUUGAAAGUUACUUCUCAUCGUCAGAAAUCUUAUCUGGAUUUGAAAAGAAAAUAUAUUGAAUUUCAAGUCAGAGACAAAGUAUUCUUAAAAGUAUCACCUUGGAGAAAAGUUCUCCGUUUUGGCCGUAAAGGGAAUCUUAGUCUGUAAUUCAUCAAACCAUAUGAGAUCAUAGAGGAUAGAGCCAAUGGCUUAUCUUUUGGUUUUACUGUCAGAGUUAGAGAAAAUGCAUAACAUGUUUCACGUAUCAAUGUUAUGGUGAUACAGAUCAAAUCCUUCACAUGUGAUUUCACCUGUAGAUGUUAAAAUUCAACCAGAUAUGUCGUACAGUGAAGAACCGAUCAGAAUCUUAGCUCGGGAAGUUAAAAAGUUAAGAAAUAAACGUAUAGAUUUAGUUAAAGUUUUCUGACAAUGUCAUGGAAUUGAAUAAGCUACCUAGGAACCGGAAGAAUCUAUGAAAGUGCAAUACCCGAACCUAUUUUCUGGUAAGAUUUUUUAGGACGAAAAUUCUUUUAGGAAAGAGAGUUGUAACAACUCGUUUUUAGUUGUGUCGAAAAUAAUAUUUUUGAGACCACAAUCUCAAUAAAUAAAUUAUUAUUUUAAUAUUUAUUUAAUUUUUAUGGGAUUAUAUUAAGGUCAUAUUAAAAUUUCUUAAUGAAAUUUUAAAGUUUAAAUAGUUAAUUAAGUAAAAAGGACUAAAUUGUUAAAGGAGUAAAAGUUGAAUUCUAUUAGUUAAAAGGGCUAAAUGGUUAUGGAAAGGAAUUUUAAUGGACAUGAAUGGUAAAUAUACCAAUUAAAGAGUUAGUGAAUGUUUAUGGAUAGGUUUUAAUGAAAUUUUAAUAGUUUUAAAAUGUUCAUUUGGUGAUUUGAUAAUCAAGUUAAAAUGUUAAGUAAUUAAAAGAUAAAAAGCUAUCAUCUUUCUCAUUUCUUCAAGACAUAAUCAUUUCUACCAUUAGAGAAGAAAUCUAGGUUUGGCCAAGCUCCUUUUGGUGCAUGUAAGUGAAUUCAGGCCUCGUUUUUAAUAAUUUUUAUGUUUUUGAGUCCAUUUUUAGCUUAAUCUAGCUAGUCUGAGGGUUAAUUUUGCAAAACUGUUAAAGGUUGAAGGACUUUCCAUGGUUGUUUUUGAAUAGGCUUUGAAGUUAUUUGAUAGAUUAUUAAUCUUGGUUGUGAAAUAAAAAUGUUUUGUUAAGUGAUUUUUGAUGAAAUUACAAAUAGGGAUUAAAUUGUUAAAAGUGUAAAUCUAUGGGUUUUAUUGUGAAAUGUUGAUAAUAAUGGAUUGUGUUAAAAUCCCUUGUAACAUUGGUUGACAUGGAUUUAGGUUAAAAUGAGUAAUAUUCAAGUUAUGAGUUUAAGGACUAAAUUGUAAAAAGUUAAAGUAUUAGGGGUAAUUUCAUAAUUUUUCAUAAAUAUGAAUUACGGAUUAAAUGUAAUUCUAUAAAUACUUGAUUGAAUGAAAUUAUUUAUUUAGAUCAAGAUAAACCACAAUCGUACUUAAAUUGAGGAAAAACUAAAGCUUCGGAUUAGUUUGACUCUACUCUACACCCCUAGUUAUCGAGGUAAGUUCGUAUGAAUUGUAUAUGUGUUAAUGUUAGUUAAAUUGACUAUCUAUUAUAUUGUGUUAGUUGUAAAUGGAUUUAAACAUGCAUAUAUCAAUGCUAUGAUGAAUUGACGGAUAACGAGUCUCGUUUGAACCUUGAGAAUUCUUUGGAUACAAAUGACAUGUCAUUAGGGAUUUCAUGUUUCGAGUGAUGGUCUUGAAUGUCCUACCGAUGGCUGAGGUCCCGCAUUUGUUGUGAAUUCUCCACAGCUCGUGUGAGCAGCAUCGUGUAGCUUACAUUCUGAUCCACAGCUCGUGUAAGCAGGCCCAUUUCACUGCUCGUGUGAGCAUUGAUGUAAAACAAAGGUUACAGUUAUAUGUAAAAGCAUACUAUGUGUGAGUUUUCCCAAGUAUCCGAUGUAAUUAUAGAUGGUUCAAUGGGUAAGAAAAGGAAAUGAAACGGUAAGUAUGCAAAUGGAAUGAAUCAUGAUCUUAUGAUAACAUUGAUGAUUUAAAUGAUGUGUUUAUAUAUGGUAAACUACAUAUCUUAUGGUUGAAUUCAUUUGUAUCAUGGACAAAUAUACUAACAUGUGAGUUGUUAAUGCUUGUAUAGGCUUAUGUCAGUCUUAUGGUUUUGGUUGAUAUUAUACUUAUGCUAUAAAUUGUGCAAAUGAAAUGGUAAGUUAUGUUUAAGUUUAUAUGAGCUUACUAAGCACUUGUUGUUUACAUAGUUAUUUUCCUUUGUUUUAUAGAUUAUCGUAAGCUCGAUUGGUUGGAAGCUCGUCAGAGACCUAUCACACUAUCCAACAACUAUAUUGGUAGAUGUUGAGUAUUUUGGCCAAGGUUAAUAAUGGCAUGUAUAGGUCUUUUGUAUUGGUAGUUCAUGGACGUGUAAUGAAUGUGUUCGUAUGUUUAAGCUUUUGGAAGUUAAGUUUGGUUUGAUGAACUUCAAUGCUUUACCAAGUUAUGUCAUUUUGGUCACCUGUAAAUGUUUGUAUAUAUCACCCUUUUGGUAUGUUUGUGUGGCUUGGAAUUAGUCAUUUGGGUUAACAUGUGGUGGUUAAAUGCACUAGGUUGGGUAAUUGAGAUAUGGUUAAAUUGCUUUGGUUUGAUCUUUAAUGUUUUGAUAAAUUUGUGGUGCCUUUGAAUGACAUAUUGGUUAGAUGAAUUAGGAUGUUUGAAAUGACAUGUUUAUGUGUGUUUGAAUGAUGUUUAUCCUUGAAUAUGUGCCCAAACAGUUUGAGUGGUUGGGUGUGAAUUGGACUUGAAAUGACUUGAUUUUAGGUAAGUUUUUGGGUUUACAGGGCCUGGGAUACGGGCUGUCACAUGGCAUAGUGACCGGUCGUGUGUCAUUUGCAAAAUUUUGAUAUUUCAAGUCAGUGAGUUACACGGCCUAGCACACGGCCGUGUGUGACAACUCAGAGAGUUACACGGCCUGCAACAUGACCGUGUGAUCCUACUUAGUGAGUUACAUGGGUGAGGACAUGGGUUGGGAUACGACUGUGUGUCCCUUUGUUCGAAUGUUACACGGCCGUGUGACCUCUGUCUUCCAAUUUUUCAAAUUUUUUUCUUAAAACUUCUAUUUUAUUUCAAUUUAGUCCCGAAUUGCUUCUAAACUAUUUUUUUAGGGCCUCAAAGGCUUGAUUUAGGGACAAUAUGCAUAUGAUUGAUAUGAUUUUAAUUGAGGUUAAUCUAUUCGAUGAUAUAAUGUUAAAUGAUUUUCGAUUGAUCAAUAAUGCUUCAUAACCCUAAUCCGGCAAUGGAGACGGAUUAAGGGUGUUACAUCAGGUAUGUUUAGGUGAUGUCUUUUUUUAUUUUUUAGACAAGUUAAUUACUUGUUUAUAUGUAAUGAAUGUUUCAGCAAUUACUGAUGAAUCUUUCAACAUUUUUUUUUUGGUUCUUGUUAAGCAAUUUGUUCUUGAUUUCUCAAGCCUGAUUUUCUUGUUUGCAUAGCAAGUCAUUAAAGCUUCUUGCUCAAGACUCUACUGUGAUUUCAUAAUCUAUUUCUUAACUCCUACAAAUGGGAUGAAAACAAGGUCCAACUCCUCAUUCUCUUUUACAUUCAAGCAGAAUUCUCUAUAAAAUGAUGUAACCCUCAUUGAAUCAGCCUCAACUGAAGUACUGAAAUUUUCUUAAUAGAGUGAAAGGGCCAGCUCUAAUAGAGAAAAAGGCCUUGGAUCUCUCAAAUUCAUUAUAGGAAGCAUAACGAAAGUAGAAGCGAAUGAAUUUCUGGCCAGGACUAAUAGAAGAAAGAGUACUUGAAGUCAGAACUAGAGACUCGGGUGGUCAUAUGAGGCACUCUAUCGACGGUGAAUCCUCGACAUUCAGCUUCCUGGGCUUUUGAUUUGUUGUGAGAUGAUUCAAAAGGUCCGAAUACUGAGCUUUUGUCUGCUGCCUAAAAUCUGCCAUAAGAAUCAUUAGCAUCGGAUGAAACUCCACAAUUCAGGGUGAUCUCCUCUAUUGGAACGUAUGCAGGUUGCUCACCUGCUACAAAAAUGGAAAUUUGAAGAAAGGUUAUGAAAUUAUUGUGGACAACUUUACCUUUUUCUUUAUUUGAAAUAUAUGAUAUUGGAACGGGAACAUAUUGUCUCUACAUCUGCAAAUCCAACUGAUACGGGGUUGCGCGCGGACCAAGAUCGAGUUGUCAAGUCACGGGAAACUCCUACGAAAACCCUAAACAAUUAGAUCUGAAACGAAACAGAAAAUUAAAAGAUUAGAUUUUUGAAUUUUCAGAUCUGAAAUAAAAUCCCCAAAACAGUAAAGAAUCAAAUAGAGAAUAGAAAUAAGUGUUAGGGUUCUUGAAACCCUCAAGGAGAUUGUGAUUCUGCCCAAUUGAACACCAAGAUAAUUUUCCCCAAAUUUCGACAAUCUAAUUUCACCCAAAAAGAGUAUAGAAAAACCCUAGAAAUUGGGGAUUUUUGGGCUGAUUCCUUAAGAUAGAAAAAGGCUGAAAACACAAUAAGAACAUAAAAUAGAUUAGAUAAUGAUUCAGCACAAGUAGAAAUAAAGAAAGAAUUGACAGUAAGAAAUUAAAAGAUAAGUCCUAAGAAGCUUGAAAUCUCGAAAGAUCUCACAACUCCCUUCAAACGGCUCUAAUCUCCCCUCCAAAGAAUAUCAAUGGCAAGAAGAAGGUUGAAGAUGGCUCCCACAAUCACAAGAUUGUUAAAACAACUUCUAAAGAAAACUCAAGAGAGAAAUCUUGGAGAAAACUCAAAGAAAAUUCUGCUCUUAACAAAUCUGAAAUUUUAAUAAUAAUGAUAAGUGUUUUACAAGGUGGACAGCCAUGCCUUUAAAUAGGCCUUAUAACUAGUCCUAAUCUAAUUAGAAAACUAAAAUAAAAAAAACUCCUAAUUAUUUUAAUAUGGAAAUUCGGUCAAAGGUCAUUUUAUCUGGGACUCUUGGACUGAAUAUUGACAUAAAAAUUUAAACUAAGUAAAUAAAUAAAUAAAUAAAUAAAAAUAAAAAUAAAACUUUACAACUUGGGCCACUUUGACAAUUUGGCCUGAUUUUCAACUAAGUAUGGAUGGAUUUCUUGAUUGGGCUGGGAAUUUGCUUAUUGGGCCUCGCCUUCAAGAAUUUGGGCUUUUGUGACUCGUAUCAUUCCCCCCUUCCUCAAAAAGAUUCGUCCUCGAAUCUGAAAAAUCAAAUGAACUCGACUUUCCUCUAUCGAACGGGACUAAUGGCAAUUGAGUCCACUGAAAAGAAUAGCCAUGAGAUAGUAAAUAGCAACGGAAACAAGCUUGUAGUCCAAUCAUAAGCAUAACAGAACAGGUAUAACGCAUGUGAAUGGACAGAUUCAGAUUACCAUGCAAACAAUCUAAUUUACUCACCACUGCCUCGUCAAAUAUUUGAAACAAAGAUGGACAUGUUUUAAGGCAUUCAGUCGUCUCACAUUGUUCCCACAAACCAUGAAUAAAUUGCGAGUAAUAAAUCAAAUGGUAAACAUAAUCGUCACAAGUAGGUAUUUGAAAAGAUUCACAUGGUUCACAGAGUUGCAUAAUCAUACCAUGCAUUAAUUGACGGUCUAUAGAUUCACUCACACAUGCAUUAUCAAAAACAAGAAUCUUUUUAUCAACCAUCAAAACAGAUAGAUCAUCAAUAAAUAAAAUAGGACAGUCAAGCACGUUUCGAUCUAAGUGUUCAUCAACACGAUCUUUAUCACUAUCCGAGGAGUACAAAAGUGUUUCAAAGGUUUCAAGCAUCUUACCUCGAUAAGCAGAAGAAUAAGGGUCGAUUUUACCUUUUUCAUUUAAAACAAACCUUCGCUCAUCGGGGGCAUAGUGUAGUCGAAUCUCCGUUGUUGAGUUAACAUUUGUCAAAUGGAACUCAAACUACAUGUACAACCACAUAAACUGUUUAAGGCACGAAUAUAAAUUGAAAACAAAUUUGGAAAAUUUCGUUACCUUAUUCUCCAAAACAGAUUUGGACAAAUUCGAGGAUUUUACACAAGGUAAAUCAAGAGAAUAACAAAUCACGCUUCUUUUCGUAAUGACUUUAUCAACCACAAUCGAAGAGUAACAAUUAAUCGGAUCAAAAUGAGGGGAUCUUUUAAGAACUAAGUCACCAAAAGUUUUAUCAAUAAUUUUCAAAUCUGCACUGGACUCGGUUUCUAAAAUUUCCUUACCUCGCUUACCUUCGGGAUCAUGUAGUGUGAUUUCAUCUUUACUUAAGUUGAUCGUAUGAAAGCGUCUUUCAUUUGAGAGGUAUUGAAGUUGAAAGUUAUCGUUCGAUCUUUCGGGAACCUGAAAAGUAGCAACACAAGAAAAAUUCAUAUCUUGGUUAGUGGAAACAUUCCUCACUACCCUUUCCACGUCUUUUUCUUUUGUUUCUUUUUCUAAUUCAUUUUCUCUUCUUUCUUCAAUUUCUUUUUCACUCUCAAUCUCUUUUUGCUCUUUUUCAUUCUCUUUUUCUUUUUCCUCACUUGUUUUAACAGAAUUUUUCAGUUUGAUUUGGUCCUCAUGGACUUGUUCUAGAGUGAGCGGCACUAAGGUGAGUUUCUUUCCUUGAUGCUUGAAAGAAUACCUAUUGGUACGACCAUCGUGAGUGACUUUUUGAUCUAGUUUCCACGGUUCUCCUAGCAACAAAUGGCAGGCUUGAAUAGGCAUUACGUCGCACACAACUUCGUCUUGAUACUUACCGAUAGAAAAGGCGAUGCGCACUUGUUGAGUGACCCUAAAUUGGCCUUCGUUGCUAAGCCCUUGUAGUUGAUAAGGUUGUGGAUGCUUGGUAGUGGUUAAGCAAAGCUUUUCCACCAUCGUCGUGCUGGCUAUGUUCGAGCAACUUUCACCAUCAAUAAUAACUCUACAAAGCUUACCUUGUACGUGGCAGCGAGUAUGAAAGAGAUGUUCUCGUUGCUGCUCGCUCUUUGGUUUUGCCAAAGAUGAUUGUCCAUGAUCAUGACAAUCAUCAUCCAUUCUAGGGACACGUUGAGGGUUGCACCUAUGGGGCUGGUUAUCCCUAUCUUCCUUAAUUGGUUCUCGAUAUUGAUGUUUUUGAUUCACUCGUACCUCAUUCAAAGUAGUAUUCAAUGCUUGAAGUGUAGCAUUUAUUUGUGUGAUUGCAGCAGUAUGUCUGUCUAACUGUUGUUGGACUUUCAUAAGUGCAUCAUUAUUAUCACCUUUAGACAUCUUCAAAACCUGUAAAAAAUAAACACUCAACACUCAAAAAUAAAAGUUAGCAAACCUCACCAUUAAUCACUCAAAAAGAAAAAUCAAAUUCUCAAUGAGGUCGAAUUCAAUCUUGUGAGUUCUUUAUCAGAGUUUAUAUCAACCAAUUAGAGAGUGUGAACCAAACUACCAAAGAAUCCUAAUUUGCACUAGGAUGCCAAAAACUGACGAGACACCAAGUGAUUCGUGUUGCACCGAGGAAGGAUUGUGCACACGUUUAAAUCCUACUAACACAAGAAACAAGAAGGUGUUAGAUAUUUUAAAAGGAUAAUAAAAAGCAAACAAAUGAAAACCUACAGCUAAGAAUCAAUAAAAAUUGCUGAAAACAGAAAACCCGAAAAACUGUGGAGUAACUUGACAACUUCGUUCGAGGUGUUCCCGAUCUCAAAAAAUCACAAAAUUAAAUCUGGAAUGUCUUCAAAUAUUGAAUUUUUGAUCUGGAAAAUUUGGGCACCAAAUUCAACCCGCUGAAUAUUUUUUUAAUUUUUUAUUGGAUUUCGUAUUUUUUCAAUUUUUUUGACUUUUUCGACUUAUUUUUUUGCGGGAAAUAUUUCUGUAUAUUCAAUAACAGUGCCAAAAAUAUGUAUGUAAAAUUUCAGAUCAAUCAGAAAACGUUUACCCACUCAAAUGAAUUUUUUUUCGAAAAUUUUUCUGGGUAAAACUGCUGUUUGUAAUUUAAAAAAUAGAGAUCAGUUUAGAAAUCAACCAAGAACACCCAAAACGCCCAAAAUCUGAUACCAAAUGAUACGGGGUUGCGCGCGGACCAAGAUCGAGUUGUCAAGUCACGGGAAACUCCUACGAAAACCCUAAACAAUUAGAUCUGAAACGAAACAGAAAAUUAAAAGAUUAGAUUUUUGAAUUUUCAGAUCUGAAAUAAAAUCCCCAAAACAGUAAAGAAUCAAAUAGAGAAUAGAAAUAAGUGUUAGGGUUCUUGAAACCCUCAAGGAGAUUGUGAUUCUGCCCAAUUGAACACCAAGAUAAUUUUCCCCAAAUUUCGACAAUCUAAUUUCACCCAAAAAGAGUAUAGAAAAACCCUAGAAAUUGGGGAUUUUUGGGCUGAUUCCUUAAGAUAGAAAAAGGCUGAAAACACAAUAAGAACAGAAAAUAGAUUAGAUAAUGAUUCAGCACAAGUAGAAAUAAAGAAAGAAUUGACAGUAAGAAAUUAAAAGAUAAGUCCUAAGAAGCCUUGAAAUCUCGAAAGAUCUCACAACUCCCUUCAAACGGCUCUAAUCUCCCCUCCAAAGAAUAUCAAUGGCAAGAAGAAGGUUGAAGAUGGCUCCCACAAUCACAAGAUUGUUAAAACAACUUCUAAAGAAAACUCAAGAGAGAAAUCUUGGAGAAAACUCAAAGAAAAUUCUGCUCUUAACAAAUCUGAAAUUUUAAUAAUAAUGAUAAGUGUUUUACAAGGUGGACAGCCAUGCCUUUAAAUAGGCCUUAUAACUAGUCCUAAUCUAAUUAGAAAACUAAAAUAAAAAAAACUCCUAAUUAUUUUAAUAUGGAAAUUCGGUCAAAGGUCAUUUUAUCUGGGACUCUUGGACUGAAUAUUGACAUAAAAAUUUAAACUAAGUAAAUAAAUAAAUAAAUAAAUAAAAAUAAAAAUAAAACUUUACAACUUGGGCCACUUUGACAAUUUGGCAUGAUUUUCAACUAAGUAUGGAUGGAUUUCUUGAUUGGGCUGGGAAUUUGCUUAUUGGGCCUCGCCUUCAAGAAUUUGGGCUUUUGUGACUCGUAUCACCAACCGCUUUUGCUUCAAAUACAGCUUCAAGUCAAAGGUAAAGUUGCCCAACGCGAUGUGCUCAAAAAAAAAAAAGAAAAAAAAAAGAAAAAGAAAGCAAUAUGAACAAUUUGAUUUAGUCAGAAACCAUUGUUAAUUAAUUAAUUCAAAGGAACGGAGCCCCGAUAAAAUAUUGAGGUUAAAUAUAAAUAUUAAUAAAAUAUAAUAUAUAUAUUAAAAUAAUUUUAAAUACAUAUCCAUCCAAAUAAGGCAUAAUGAGAUUAAAAUUUUUAAAUAAAUAACUUAAUAAAACUUAAAUAAUAUCCCCAUAAAUUAAUAUACCACCACUUAUACUUAGAGGUGUGCAUGGGCCAGGCCGGGUCGGGUUCAGGCCGGCUCAACUAAAAAUUUAGGCCCGUUUGCUAGGCUCGACCCCAAAAAUGGGCCUAAAAUUUUACCAAAACCCGACCCAAAUAAAAAUGCUAAAAUUUGGACUCGACCCGGCCCACCCAUAUUAAUUUUUGUAUUAUUUUUAAAUAUAUAAUACAUCAAAAAUACUAAAAAUAUCAAAAUAAAUAUUUCCCAACAAAUUGAAAAUAAAUUUUAAAAAAUAUGUAUACUUAAAUAACACUAAGAUAGAUGCAACUUAACAAGCAAAUGUCUCUAAAAUAAUAACAAAAUUAACAAAUGUCUUUAAAAUAAUAAUAAAAUUAACAAUAAAAUAAGUUUAUACAAUAUCCAAACAAUAAGAACAAAAUAGUAGCAACAUAAUAGUAAAUUGCCAGCAAAAUAGAGAGAAAAAACAAGAAAAUAAUAUUUAAAAUUUUUUUGUCCUUUAGUGAAUAUGGCCCGAGCCCUGGCCAAAAAUGUCUUACCUGAGGCCUGGCUCAUUUUUUAAACGGACCUUUUUUUUUCCAAGCCCAUUUUUCGAGCUUAUAUUUUUGUCCAAACUCUCCCACAUUUCAAGCGGGCGUUUGAGCCGGGCUGAGUGGCCCGACCCAUGAGCAAUUCUACUCAUACUCGUUUCCCACUCAAUGGAUCCAAUUUUAUUUGGACCGGUAAUAUAGAUAUUUACUAGGGAUAGAAAAAUUAAGCAUUUAUAAUGAUUUGGGUUUCAAUUCACUAUCUUCACCAUCAUUUAGCUUUACUAUUGCUACUACCUUUCAAGGAUAAUGUAUUGCAUUUACUAUCCCUAUCAUUUCAAAACUUAGAUAGGAAUUUUCCUCUUUAUAUUUUUUAAUGGUAAAGAUACAACAACUCUAAUUUUUAAGGAUUAAUUAGCGAUCUCUCUAGCUUUUAAGACCAAAUUAGAAACCACUCUUUUUACAAAGAUGGAUUUUAUAUAAACAAAGAAACUUCUCUAAAGUGGGUAUUUACAAAGAGUAAAGUCACUAAAAAAUAGAAUACAACAACUACAACUAUUUGCAUGAAUGCUCUCUAAAAGAUAUGUACAAGAGAAAGAUAAAGAAACUGAAUAACUAAAAUAUUGAUUAUGUCUCUUGCUUCUUGGAAUGUUUUUGAGGUACAUGAAAUGUGACCAUGUGUAUUGAUCCCUUGAGGAGGAGGGUUGGUCCCUCUAAAACUAUAUUUUUAUCCCAAAAUCAUUUUAAAAGGUAUUCAAAGUUUUUCAAUUUAAACAAGUGUCAUUUAGACUGUUUUGAACCUGAAAAUAUUUCUAAAAAUAUUUGUUUUGUUUUCUAAUGCAAUUGACUUAAAAGGAUAAUAUGAAAAAAUUAUUUUAAAUGUAUAAAAAAAAGUUAUAGUUAAAAAGCUAACAACAAUAACUAAAAAAUAUUAAAAGAAAAACAAUAUUGUUCUCUAACCUCUGUCAAAAAUUGAAAUCACGUUUUGCCGUUGUCUUGUUGUGUCUCUACAUCAAAUAUUUGUAAAACUUGAGCUAUGUUCGAUAAAUUAAAAAAAAAUUAACUGCUAAAAGUUAAGGAUUAAAAAAAUAAAUACUAAAAAAUUAAGUGUCGAAUUUAAGUUAUAUAAUAUGUUUAAUGUAUUAGUUAAAAUUAAAUUCUUAAUAUAAUUAGAUUAUUUGAUAAAAGAUAAUAUAAUUUUAAAUGAAAUAAUUAAAAUUAAAAAUAAUAAUUCAAUGUAUUCUCUAUUAAAUGAUAAUUAAAUCACCAUCUUCUUAUUAUUUAUCAAAAGUGUUUAAAAAAUUAACAUACCGAAAGUAUUAAUAUUCAAUCAAUUAAUUUUUUUAACACUCUAUUAAACAGGCCUAGUAUUUGUUUCUGAUUAGAAGGUUUUUUUUUUUUAACGUUAAUUUGAAAGAGUUUGAAACACUUAAGAGUUUUUAUCUUUUCAAGUGUGGAACUUUAAAAAUGGAUGAGAGCUACAUUCUGUUUGAAGUUUCUAAAAUAAAGUCAACAAUAUUUCUUUGUCCAAAGAAAUAUAAACUAAAAAUUAAAUUUUAAAAAAAAAAGAAAAAAAUUAAAGCAAUUGAGCUUUGUUCUAAUUUGGUCUAAAAUAUAGGUAUUGUUUUAAUUGGAGUUCAAUCCGAACUUAAAAUUGAUUUAAACCUAAAACGUGUUGGAAAAAUUACAUUUUAUGGAAACUUUGAGACAUAUUUUUAAUAGGUAAAGGUAGAGAGUUGAAUCAUAAAAUUAUGGUUUCAUAUUUUACUCCAUGAGACCUUUACUAUGCUCAAAAUGGUUGAGUGAUGAUUGAGAAAUUGAUGCUAAAAGUAAGUUACUUAGAAAUAUUUGUUGAGGAAAAGUAAAGACUUAGAUUCCACAUUGGUUAAAUACCAAAUGUGAGAUGUAUAUGUAUAUAGGAACCCUCUUGAAAGAUAAUUGGAUGACUAAGUUUGGAACCUUGUCUCACACAUAGGAAGGGUGCAGGUCCAAACUUGAUUGGGUUGGGGUGCACCUGCAAGACGUGGUGAAGCGAAAUGUUGAGCUCAAAAUGGGCUUAUCUUAUGAAUAUUUUAGCCCAACACGAAAUUAUUUUUUCUCAACAGACAUAAUCUGUUUAUAUAAGGACAUUAUCUUAUCUUAUUUGUUUCAAAUCAAUUUGAUUUAAUUUUUAAUCAAAUUGAUUUGUUGGCUCCUUUAAUGGUAGAUUUUGUGGAUACUUCCAAAUUUCCACCAUACAAAAUGCAAUUUCCACCAUACAAAAUGCCUAUAAAAGGUUAUGUAUUUUGUAGAAUUUCUCCUACACUCGUACUCUCUCACACCGGAAUUCUUUUGCUCUCAAAACUCUUCUUUUUCCUCUCUAUAUUUUUCAACAUUCUGGUUAUAGAAAAAGACAACGUUCGUUCGUUGAUCGUUGCUGAGGUGUUACUUCUUUGAUCAUUGUUAUUGUUGUAUAUCGGGAGACAUUCGACCAACGUUUCUCUAAGUACUGUAGGAAAAAAUUCAUAGUUUACACUAAAUAGAACUAAAGACAUAACUUAGUGAAAAUUAAUUUAUUUUUCACAAGAUGGAUGAAAAAUAAAAUUAUGUAAUAAAUAUAUUUUUAAAAAUUAAUCUAAAUAAAAAUGGGAGUUUUGUUGAAUAAUAAAAUACAAAUAUUCAAAACUACAAGAAUUCUAAUUUAUUAAAGCAAAUUAUACAAAAACACAUUAAUAAUUUACUUAAAAAGCAUAUUUUACUCAAAUGUAACUAUUUAUUUAUCGGAGAAAAAAAAUGAAAUUAACUAUUUGGAACUAUUUUUUUUACUAAAAUUACUUUUAAUCAUUACCAACUUUGAUUCGUUCUAAUCUAAUAAUUGUAAUAGCCAAUUUUAACCGGGCCCAAAUUAACCAAUCAAAUCCAAUAAAAAUUGGGCCAAUCCUGACCCAAUUGCAUUUGGCCCAAUAAGGCCCAAGUGUGCUAACCCUAGCCUAACCCUAAGCAGCAGUUAGCAGUAGCCACCCCACGUUGCAGCAACCUCCAGUGCCGUGCACGCCCCACGUUCGGCAGCCUCCCAAACUGUCCCACAUCUUCGCUGGCACGUCCACUCGCACAACGCUCACACAUCUGCAAGCCACAGACAACACUAAUAGGAUAUACACACAGCAAAACAGUGGUAAAAGAAUUUAGGGAGAGCUAUAUAAAGGCCAAUGAUUUUCUGUAACUUGGUUAGAAAAAUUUUGUACUAAAAAGAGAAAAAUCUUGUAUUGGAAAAAUACUGAAAUACAAACAAAGAAUCAAAAACAAUUUUUGAAGGUAAUUUUCUUUGUGUUUUAUUUAUUUAUUUACUUUUUUUUUCUUUGCUUCUCUGUUUUUGGUGCAAAAGAAAAAGCAAAAAGAAAAGGACGAAACUUACCUAAAUCGGAGUCUGCGGCGAAGCUUGAACGGCGGUGGCGUGGCAGUAGUUAGGGCUUUAAAGAAGGCCUAGCAGAUCCCUCUUUCUUCCCUCUGUUGUUUUAAAAAAAGAAAAAGGAAGAUGAAGCAAUUUUGCGCCUAUUGCUGCUGCAGAGUAGGCUUUUAAUAGGAGAUGGAAAGAGUUUUAAACACUGAUGGGUUAUUUGCGUUUUUAAUCCUUCAUUUUAUCCCAUCAUUUCAAAAUCAUUGUGGUUUGUUUUCAAAUUUUUCCAUGAAAUGUUGAAUUUGUUUUAUUUUAAUCCAUUGCUGCGUGGAGUUUUGGACGGAGGGAUUAAUUUCACUUUCGGUCCUCCACUGUUAAUUGCAUGUUCCAUUUGAUCCAUUGGUGUUUUGUUUAUUUCAGAUUUGCCCCUGAAACUUCAAUUAUUUUCAAUUUAAUCCAUUAUCUUUCAUUUUAAGUUUUUUUUAGUUUAUUUUAUUAAUAUAGUUAUUUUUUUUAUUACUAUUAUUAUUAUAUUUAUUAUACUUACAUAUAUACACGCAUGUGUACUUUAUAAUAUAUGUGUAUAUUUUUUAUUUCUAAAUGUUUUAAAUAUAUAUAUAGUGCGUAUAUAUUUUAUUACCAUAUUUUUAUAUAUAUAGUUUAUAUAUAUAUAUUAUAUAAAUUCAUAUUUUUUAUAAUUAUUUAUGUUUUCAUGUUUUAUAAUUCAUAUGUUUAUACAUUUUUUAUAAUAUGUACAAAUCAUAUAUUUCAUUAUUACUUUAUUUUUCUUAGUUUUAUAUGCAUACGUACAUAUACUUAUAUUUUAUGAUUUUCACAUCGUUUUUCAUUUUUUAAAAGAAAUUCAAAUAUAUAUAUAUAUAUAUUUUACAUAUAUGUAUAUAUAUGCACUAUUCAAAAUCAUUAAAAGUAUUUUCCGCAUGUUUCUUGCAUGUAUAUAUAAUCAUAAUUUAUUAAUAUAUUAUGCUUACAUUUUUAUUUUUAUGUAAACUUUAUAUAAUUUUUUUGAUUAUAUUAUUUUAUUAUUUUUGUAUACAUAUAUAUACAUGCAUCAACAUCUUAUCAUACUUUUAAAGAAAAAUAUAUUUCGAUUUUGGUCAAAAUAAUUAAAUCAUCAUAUUUUAAAAAAAUUUAAAUAUUUGGCAAUCAUGAUUCUCGAGAAAGAUCGUGUCCUAACUUACUGGAUCGUGAUCAUUUUUCGAUGAAUUUAGAAAGCUAAGUAUUUAUUUUACAAUAAAUUCGCAAUUUUCAAAUAAAACCUUAUUCUCGGGAAUUCAAAAUGUCGGGUCCUAACUUACUGGUCGUGACAUUUCGUUAUCUCGAAAUAAGAAUUUCUAAAAUAAAAAGCAAUAUUCGGUAUUUUGAAGAUAUAAAAUAGUGCCCUAACUUACUGGGUGUGGUGUUUUAUUUCUUUGAAAUGAUAAUGUUUUAUCAUUUUAGAUUCAUUCACGGGUUAAAAAUUUCUAUUUAAAAUCUUUUCAAAUUUUCGACAUCAAGACAUAAAAUAAUCAAAUUUGGUACCGAUUUUUGGGCGUCACGAGGGUGCUAACCCUUCCUCGUGCGUAACUAACUCCCGAACCUGUUUUCUCAAAUUUUGAAGACCAGAAUUGUUUUUUUUGGUGAGCCGAUCACACCUUAAUAAAGGAUCGGUGGCAACUCCAAUUUUUGUUUUUAAAGUCGAUAACUUAUUUUUGUUUUCAAAAAAAUGGUUUCGACAGCUUGGCGACUCCACUGGGGACUAUUAGAGAGUCGAGCCAUGAAUUGAUUAUCUUUUGUCUUUUUUGUCGAAAAUUAAAGUUGUUUUAAAACCUGAUUUUCUCUUUGCAUUCAUUAGUUUUAAUUGUCAUAUGCUUGUUUGGUUGGUUUAAAUCUGUCGGUUUAUUUUCAUUUUUGCAUUUCAUGGUCAAUUUUACCCUCUAAGUGGAAGUGAGAAACUAGUCCUUCGUGAGGUUUUCACCUCCGUGCAGGAUAGUGGAUCGCUUUCGGAAUACAUCUGUACCUAUGUCUUCGUGAGAUUUUCAUCUCCGUGCAGCCAUAGGGAAAUGUAUUCCCCUGAACCGAACUUAGUCCAUAUGAGCCUAUAAUGGGUGAGGAUCGAGGAAUCUGCUGGUUCGGGUACCCUUGCUCUAGAAGCCAAAACCUCAUAUAGUGAACCUUAGGAACCCACCCUAGGUAGAAUUACUUUGAACCUUAGUAGACACCUAAUUAGGAGUUUUUACUAUUUCUUGGUUGUAUUGUAUUUAAUUGUUACUGACUUUUUGUGUUUUACUCUGAUUGCAUGGCAUUACAAUUACAUGGCAUUCCAUUAUAAAGAGGCGUUGUUUCGUAUUCGGUUGCUAGACAGAAAUUUUAUCAUGGGAAAUGGGUUUCUUGAUAAAGUGGAAGAUAAUACGGCUGCCUGAAUAUAUUCCAAGAAACGUAAGAAGGGUGAUGGAGGAAUACAUGACUUUACUUCGUGCCUCAAGGUCAAGCUGAUUAUUCAAGAGUUUCUGACAUUUCAACCUCCUUAAAGAAGCUGAUAACCCUUACGAGGAUGCGCAGACGUUGGAUUAUAACCAGGAUCAAGUAAAAAGGGAGGUAGAGGAGAUACCCCUUUUGGAGAAUUCACAAGAUUUAUCUUAGCAUCCAGAUGAAGAAGGAGAAGAUGACUUCGCCUGGAGUAUGAGGGCAAAGCCGUAUAUAUAUAUCCGCUUUUUGUAAAGAAAUUUGUCUUCUAAUAAAGUUUUCUAAAUGGAAUUGAAUCAGAAUCAACGUCUCUUUUUGCAUUCAUCUCAUGCAUUUGCAUUAAUCUCAUCAUAUGCACUAAAAUCCACCAAAAGAGCCUAAUCAAUUAAAAUUAUUCUUCAGUUAACCUGGAAACCAACCAGCCAACCCAACCCCGUUACGGUACAAGAGCAAAAUCAAAUAAUAUAGAUCAAAGAUUAGAAAAGCUCGAGCAAUUUCAAAAAGACAUGCAGGAUCAGCUCCAGCAACAAAUGAAGGAACAGCUUGAAAAAAUUCAGCAGAAGUUGAUGGGCAAAAUGGAGGAAUCCCAAGGAAGCAUGAUAACCCAGUUAACUCAGCUCUUAAUUGGCGGAAAGGAUAAGGGAAGGAGCCCUGUAACAAAUAUUAAGGAGGAAGGCGAGGAUGGACUCCAUUAUCCUCCGGGCUUCACUCCCCCAGAUGUGUAGCCCUAAGUGGAAAUGUGCCCGCGUAAAUCUUCUGUUACCAUUAGGCCUCAGCAAUUUCAGGCCAAUGCUUCAAAGGCGAUGAAUUACCAAACUGGAUUAGGCUCUAGCCCUGAGAAUAUCCCCGUCAAUCUUGUAGUCCCUGACUUCGAUGAGGUGGUCGAAAAGGAAAAAGAAAAGGAAGAAUUGCCAAAGCAAUUGGAAGAAAGGUGGAAGUGGGUCAAAGAGAAGUUCAAGGCAAUGGAAAGUACUGAGAGAUAUGGUGGGAUUGAUGCUAAAGAUCUGAGUUUGGUACCAGAUUUGGUGCUACCUCACAAGUUCAAAAUGCCAGAAUUCGAGAAGUAUAAUGGGACUAGUUUCCCUGAGGCCCACAUCACCAUGUUUUGUAGACGAAUGGCUGGGUAUGUCAAAAAUGAGCAGUUAUUGAUACACUAUUUUCAGGAUAGCCUCACGGGGGCAGCGUCUAAAUGGUAUAAUCAAUUGAGCCGUGCUAAGAUUAGUUCCUAGAGGGAUUUGGCACAGGCUUUUAUGAAACAGUACAGUCAUGUGGCAGAAAUGGUUCCUGACAGAAUUACUUUGCAAAACAUGGAGAAGAAGUUGAAUGAAGGUUUCAGGCAGUACGCUCAGAGAUGGAGGGAGGUUGCAGUUCAGGUCCAACCACCGCUCCUUGAAAGAGAAAUGGUGAUGCUCUUUAUAAAUACGUUGAAGGCCCCAUUCAUCACACAUAUGUUGGGAAGUGCCACAAAAAGCUUUUCUGACAUAGUUAUGAGUGGUGAGAUGAUUGAGAGUGCUAUUAGGAGCGGAAAGAUUGAUGCUGGAGGAAAUAACAGAAAGCAAGCCCCAAGGGAAAAAGAAAAUGAGGUGAACAGCAUGAACACGUACAGCAAAUCGAUUACGGUGAAUCAGCCAGGAAAGGUGGUUACUAAUCAGCAAGGUUCAUCAAGACAAGAAUCAGGUGUGAAGCCAGGUACUGAGAAGCUCUAAUUCACACCAAUUCCGAUGUCCUAUAAGGAGCUGUAUCAAAGCUUGUUUGAUGCGCAUGUUGUUUCUCCUCAUUACUUAAAACCUCCACAACCUCCGUAUCCUAAGUGGUAUGAUGUGAACGUGCAAUGUGACUACCACGCGGGAAUUACGGGGCACUCAAUAGAGAAUUGCAUUACCUUUAAAAAGCUAGUUGAAAAAUUCAUCAACAUGGGUAUUGUCAAGUUGGGUGACUCAUCUAAUGCAGAAAAUCCACUACCCAAUCAUGAUUGACAAUAAGGUAAAAUGCGAUGUAUGAAGAGAUGUUGGGAAGCGUUCACAUUAAUGACAUGUAUGAAGACACAACUGAAGAAAGGGCCUUGUUAGAUGUCUGUCCUUAUAAAUUUGAGAGUGUUCUAAGCAAUUUGGAUUGUGGAAGAGACCCCUAUAGUUUUUAGAGCUUAUUUAGAGUAAUGUUCGGAACAUUUUUGUUGUUUUUAGCCUAAAAUUGAUAGAAAUUCCUUUGUGAAAUAGGCUCAUGUCUGAACGUCAUUAUUCUAAUAAAAUACAUCUUUGCAUUCAUUUUUGAACCAAUAUUCUUUCAGUCUGUCUGAAUAGUUAUUCUUUCAUUCUUUUGGAUUUUCUUCCACAUCAUUCAUUCAUUCAUAAUCAUAUUGUACAGAUAGUUCUUCAUAAAUUUAUACAUUCUUUUGUAUAUUCUUUGGUAUUUAUUAUGGGCCCCCAGAUAUCAAUGACAUGAAUGACACUGCUACAGACUCAGAAUCUCCUUUUGAGCAAGACAUGUGUUUAGAGGGAUCUCAUGACUUUGGAAGAUGACAUAGAUCGUGGCCUAUCUCCGGACUUGUUGAGGAAGGUAGAACAGGAAAAGAAACAAAUUUACCUCAUGGGGAGACAAUGGAGAUUGUAACCUUGAGGGAACAUGCAUAACCGGAGAAACAAAACAAGACCUUGUUGAGUUACCUUAAGGGUUCAAAGAUGUCGUCGCAUGGUCAUACCAGGACAUGCCCAGGUUAAGCACGGAUAUUGUAAUCUGAGCAACAACAUAACGUUAACAAUUUGCAGUAUGUUCAAGAUACACAUCAUGAACGAUGCAGUUAGAAUUCUUUACUGGGGUAAUGCCUUUCUCUUUAGCUUAUUACGAUUUUUUCUUCCAUUGAAGUUGAAAUUCUUUUUCUCUGGGUAUUAGCUGAGCUGAAUUAGGAUGAAGAUUUAAUCUCGAUACGAUCAGUUGAACUUAAUUGAAGGAAAAAGGCUAAAACGGUCAGAUGUACCAAAAACAGAUAAUGCAAGCUUAUAACAAAAAGGUUCAUCCUAGAGAAUUCCAUGAAGGAGACCUAGUAUUGAAAAAGAUCAUUCCUCUACAAAAAGAUUUAGAGAAAAAUGAGUGCCAGAUUGGGAAUGUCCUUAUGUUGUAAAGAAGACAUUUGCCGGAGGAGCACUGAUCUUGAGUGAGAUGGAUAGUAAAAACUUGUUUAAUCCUGUAAACUCAGAUUUAGUUAAGAAAUACUUCAUUUAAAGAAAGAGAGGACCAAGGUAAAACCUCGCAAAGGGCACUUUGAGUCGCAAAAAAAAAGAUGAGAAAUGAAAAAGUGAAAAAAUGAAAAAUGGAAAAGUAAAAUGGAGAGGUUAAGGUGAAAACCCGCAAAGGGCGUCUUAGACCAAAGGGGAUUUGAGUUGAAAACCCGAAAAGGGCGGCUCAAAUAUUGAUCAGAAUGGGCAUGAGGUAAUCAGAGCAGCUCAAAUGUUGAUUAGAAUGGGGCAUGCUGUGAUCUUGAUAUGCCUUAGUCAGCAGGUAAGGGUACGCGACAUCUUGGGGCAUCGACAGAGUAAUGUAGAUCUCCAAAACACAUGUCAAACUCAAAAUGGUCUUCAAGAAGUUUGUAUAGAGAAGUUCAAGCUGCAACAUCUAAGGCACCUUGUCUCCAAACUAUUUAUUUUGAAUUUGUUGUUCUUGGAAUACUUCAUUCUUUUCCAAGAUACGCAUUCUCAAUCAAUUUCUUUGUUAUCCUUCUUUACUAUUUUUGAUAAUUUAUUCCUUUCGAGCUAUGCUCAAAACUAACUUUAUUCUUAUCCAUUGUUAUGACCUUUUUGCAAGCAUGUUGCAUUGGAAUAAUGAUUAAUGGACUAAUAAAACUUUCACAAGGGAGGUUUUGCAUAUUACUCUAGAGGUUUCUAAACAAUAUAGGAGCCUGAAACAGGACUGUUGUUUAGAACGCACCAGGUUUAAAGGUUGGAAAUUUGAGAAGGAAAAGUCGAAAUUAGGACUUUCUUUUUGAUUUUGUUGUCAAAAACAUUGAUUGAACUAAAUGACAGGAUGAUAGGUUGGUGGCAAGACUUAGAUGAACAAACAAGCAAUAAUCACUAAGCAAUAAAAAGGGGUUUCUUUGGAGAGGAGAAUCAUUCAUUCGUGCAUAGGCAUUUGGUAUGACACCCUGAGAUUGGUAUGAAAGACUAAAGUGCUUCACAUUUUGCAUCCUUGAAUUGCGAUAUAUGAGGAUUGAGAAAAGACCAAAUGUUUCUACCAUUGGGUUACAGCAGGAGAAAGAUGGUACAAAUUUUACGUCCCAAUGGAUGAAACUUUGAGGUUUACAGUGAGGGGCAAUUUGAUCAAGCGUUUCUUUGGAGAUGUGAUCCGAACAAAAGACGUUGUAGCACGUCAAUUAUACGACUUUAAUAAACUUCGAGUAAUGACAACCUAAGCGGGAUCAUUCUCGGAGAGUAAAAUUUUGCAUUAAUGCAAACACCAUUCAUACAUGUCUAGUUAGGAGCAUUUGAUUCAUUUUGAUCAUGCCAUCCUAAUCAUUAGGCAUAAUUAGGUUCAUUAUACAGGUCAUGUUCUCCGAAGAACAGAUCAGUGAAAGUAGCAGAUCUUGCCUUCCUACAUCGACAGCGAAUGAGAUCGAAGAUACUAAUUCUAUCUCCCUGGUUGGCAGUGGAAUAGAUUGAAGAUUUCAGAUCUUAUCUCCCUAGGCAUUAGUGGAGCAGAUCGAAGAUGGCAGAUUUUACCUCCCUGUGGUUACAGUGGAGUACAUUGAAGCCGUAAUUCUAUCUCCCUGGUUGGCAGUGGAAUAGAUUGAAGAUUUCAUAUCUUAUCUCCCUAGGCAUUAGUGGAGCAGAUCGAAGAUGGCAGAUUUUACCUCCCUGUGGUUACAGUGGAGUACAUUGAAGCCAUAAUUCUAUCUCCCUGGUUGGCAGUGGAAUUGAUUGAAGAUUACAGAUCUUAUCUCCCUAGGCAUUAGUGGAGUAGGUCGAAGAUGGUAGAUUUUACCUCCCUGAGGUUAUAGUGGAGUACAUUGAAGCCAGUAAUUCUGUCUCCCUAGGUAGUAGUGGAAUAGAUUGAAGAUUACAGAUCUUAUCUCUCUAGGCAGUAGUGGAGUAGAUCAAAGAUGGCAGAUUUUACCUCCCUAAGGUUACAGUGGAGUACAUUAAAGCCAGUAAUUCUAUCUCUCUGGGCAGCAGUGGAAUAGAUUGAAGAUUACAGAUCUUAUCUCCCUAGGCAUUAGUAGAGUAGAUCGAAGAUGGCAGAUUUUACCUCCCUGAGGUUACAAUGGAGUACAUUGAAGCCAGAAAUUCUAUCUCCCUAGGCAGCAGUGGAAUAGAUUGAAGAUUACAGAUCUUAUCUCUCUAGGCAUUAGUGGAGUAGAUCGAAGAUGGCAGAUUUUACCUCCUUGAGGUUACAAUGAAGUACAUUGAAGCCAGUAAUUCUAUCUCCCUGGGCAGCAGUGGAAUUGAUUGAAGAUUUCAGAUCUUAUCUCCUUAAGCGGUAGUGGAGCAGAUCGAAGAUGGCGAAUUUUACCUCCCUGGGGUUACAGUGGAGUACAUUGAAGCCAGUAAUUCUAUCCCCCUGGUUGGCAGUGGAAUAGAUUGAAGAUUUCAGAUCUUAUUUCCCUAAGCAUUAGUGGAGCAGAUCAAAGAUGGCAGAUUUUACCUCCCUGGGAUUACAGUGGAGUACAUUGAAGCCAGUAAUUCUAUCUCCUUGGUCGAUAGUGGAAUCGAUCGAAGAAUAGAAGAUCUUAUCUCCCUAAGCAGUAGUGGAGUAGACUGAUAACGGCAGAUCUUGUUUCCUCGACAUUGUAAUUGCAUAUAUUGAAGAAGAUAAUCCUAUUUCCCUAAAGUUGCAGUGGAGCGGAUUAACACCACGGAUCUUAUCUCUAUGAAUUGCAAAGGAGCAAGUCGCGUCAACUUUCAGUGGAAUAAAUUGAAGCUACAAGUCAUAUCUCCCUGAAGUUGCAAUGCAGCAGACUAAAGAUAGCAAAUUUUGUUCUUUUGAGAAGUUACAAGACAAGUCCUAUCUCCCUAAUGUUGCAGUGGAGUGGAUUGAAGCACCAAUUCCUAUACCUCUGAAGAUGCAGUAGGUUGGAAUGAGGCUACUUGAAAAAGAAUGGCACUAAGGUUCAGCACGACCGGGUAAAAUUGGCUAUUUCUGAAGUUUUUGCUAUGUUUUCAUUACACGAUAACAAGCAAAGAGGGGCAGCUGUAAUAGCCAAUUUUAACCCGGGGCCCAAAUUAACCAAUCAAAUCUAAUAAAACUUGGGCCAAUCCUGACCCAAUUGCAUUUGGCCUAAUAAGGCCCAAGUGUGCUAACCCUAGCCUAACCCUAAGCAGCAGUUAGCAGUAGCCACCCCACGUCGCAGCAACCUCCAGUGCCGUGCACGCCCUACGUUCGGCAGCCUCCCAAACUGUCCCACAUCUU